GGAUUUGUAGUAGUAGUGGGGUGGAGGUGGUGAAGGGACUGGAGGAGGAGGAGACUUGUACUUAUAAGGCUUCUUGUGAGGUGAUGGUGGAGGAGAGUGGUAAACUGGGGUGGGGACAUGGGGAGGGUAGGUGGGAACUGGUGGCGGUGGGGAGUGGUAGACUGGGUGGGGGUGAGGGUAGCGGUGCCUGUGCACUGGUGGAGGAGGGGAAGAGUAUUUGUAUGACUUCUUAGGAGGGGGUGGAGGAGAGUGGUAAACUGGGUGUGGGUGAGGGUAAGGCUUGUGCACUGGUGGUGGGGGAGAUGGGUAUUUGUAUGGCUUCUUUGGUGGUGGAGGUGGUGGGGAGUGGUAGAUUGGGUGAGGGUGAGGGUGAGGGUGUGGGUGAGGGUAAUGGUGAGGAGGGGGUGGAGGAGAUUGGUAGACUGGGUGUGGAUGAGGGUAGGGCUUGUGCACUGGUGGUGGUGGAGAUUGGUAGACUGGGUGUGGAUGAGGGUAGGGCUUGUGCACUGGUGGUGGUGGAGAUGGGUAGUGGUAGGGAGGUGGUGGUGAGGAGACUGGUGGAGGUGGAGGAGAGGAGUAGGAGUAGUGGUUGCCGGAGAUUUGAGAUGGGAGGCUGAAAAGGAUAAUGGCAAAUGCAAGAGUGAUAGAAGCAGAGGCCAUUAGGGACCCCAUUUUCCUCCAACUGAGUUUUGGUUAUGCUCUAAAGUGAGCUUCUGCAUCCCUUUUUAUAGUUGCUUCUGAACCAUUUAACUCCAACCUACACCUUUCUUAACUCUACUUUUUUUCACUUCCACACUCACCUUCUCGGAAACACGUUAUCACGUACGUAAUCCUGGUUUUGAACUAUUGCCAUGACAUUGACUUUCAAACCCUUUGGAACACGGUUUUGGAUUCGAUUCAUCUAUCAAAAUAUUACGUGCCUUUUUUUAUGCAGAUCUCUAAUCAAAAUAUCAACUUCAUUUGAUGAUGUGUAAUGUAUUCUUCCUAUUAUGCAUGUUGUUGAAGUAAAACUUCACUUAUGAUCAUGAUUGAAUAGGAGCAUUAAAAAAUACUAACCAAAAACAUCUAAGUUUUGUUGCUUUGAAACUAAUUAAGAAGGUUAACAUUACAAGUUAAAUAUGGUAAACUUAUUGGUUUGAAUUAUUCUGAGUCAUAAAUAUUGUAUUGUAGAAGUGCUUUUGAUUGUGUAGAAAUGAAAAAGGUAAAAUAAAAAUAAGUGCAGGGAUGCCAGACUGUGGAGUCUGUAGCUAGGCUGAAAUGCUGACACAACCUUUAUUUUUCUCUGUGUGGCGGAAGAAAAGACAAACAAUAUGAUUUAAUUAUUUGUUGCUUCUAGCACUGAAACAUCACUCUGUUAAAAAACAUGCAUAAUUUUUGGGUACUACUUUUUCGUUAAAAUAAUGACAUAAAUGAAUUCAGCUGUAUCAAUUGAGGAACUAAAGUAAAAAUAUGGAUAAAUUUUUCACAUAUUUUAAAAAUUAUUUUUCUAACUUACUUUCCCAAUUCAUAUCUAAUUUCAGAAUCUUUGAAACUUGUACUUGUCUAAAGUGGUACUGCAUGAUAUAGGGGCACCUAAAACUACAUAUUUUUCAUCCUUCCCUGUCAUUAAUUAAGUAUUUAUUAAACUAUUUUUUCAGUUCUAAUAACUGUAUGAAAAAAAAAAAUCUCCACUGAACAAACUACAAGUUUUUUUUUCUCUUUUUUUUAUAUAUUUUAAUAAGUAUUUUUAGAAAACUAAAUAAAAAGGAACUCAAACAUUUUUAUAGGCUAAAUUUCUUUAAAAAAUUGUGCAUCGUAAGAAGGAUAAGUGGGAAGGUUUCAACUUGGGAGAUAACACUCUAAAGUGAAAAAACAUUUUAAAUUGGGAGUUGAACUUUCUUUGCCAGCUCAAUGCAGGUCCAUAUAUAUAUAUAUAUAUAUAUAUAAUAUUAUUAAAAAAAAUUAUAAAAUAGAAACUAAAUUUUUAUAGACCAAAAUAAUUAAUUAUAAUAAAUAAAUUAAAUAGUAACUAAAUUAAAGAUCACUUUAAAAUUAAUUUCAAAAUUAAUUUUUAUUAUUAUUAAAUAGUUUCUAAAUUGGUAUCUAAUUAUCAACUAAUGUUUUAAUUACCAAUUAUUUAGUUUCUAAAUUUGGUUUUUAAAAUCUUGUUAUUAAUUAAAUAUCAAUUUAAAAACUAUAUAAUAAUAAUAAAAAUUAAUUUAGAAACUAAAAUUUCUUUUAUUUUUUAAAAUAUCUAUAAUUUAGUUACUAUUGCAACUAAUUAUUUUGAUCUUUAAAAAUUGAUUUUUAUUUCAUGAUUUUCUUGUAGUACAUUGAUUAAUGCUUAAAAUAAAUUUAUUAAGUAAUAGAUUUAAGACGAGGUUGAUAUUUACUUACAUAUUAUAUAUUAUCAAAUAUUAUACUUUGAUCUAAAAUUUUCAGCACGUUUUCUUAGGUUGAAAUUUUCUAAUUCGUGGUAUUGUAAUUUUCUAAUUCGUGAUAUUAUAUAUAUAUAUAUAUAUAUUUUAUUUGAUAAUAAUAUAAUAACCGAGGAUAUGCUAAACUCAAUCAAUUUUGUUAAGAUAAACUUAACUCUGAUUUUAUAUUAAAUAAUAAAUUUUAAAUAUAAUUUAAUCUUAUAAACUGAAUUAUGAAUUAUAAAGUUAGGUUUAUAAUUAUUUGUAUAUUAUAAAAAUCUUCAUAAUAUUUUCAAUUUUUGUUAAAAUGUAUAUUCUUUUUAUUUUAUUUCUUGACAUUAUAAAUUAUACGAAAAAAAAAUGGUAUUCUAUGCUCCAUUCCCGAAAGCACCAUUUCACGUGCCAUUGUCAUGCAUUUCUACCUAUAAUAGCUUACUGGAGUAGGCCAAGACUCACGAGUUAUCCAAAGUAAUCUUUGUUUUCUAUUUUCCCUCUUUUUCGGGAACUUAAAUUAAAAUGUUUUUUUGAUUAAAUAUAAUUAAAGUUAAUUUAAACUUAUUAUAAUAUAAUAUUAUAAGAAAGGAUGUGGAUAAACACAGUCAUUAAGAAAAUGUAUUACUUUACAUAAUUGUGUAUAAAUUAUUAUAAUAUGAUCAAUUAUAUUAUUUUACAUGCUCAAUUAAAUGUUUUCAGAGAAUUAUAUUUGAAGUUGGAAAUAUUUUUGUAUGAAUUUCAAACUCUUUUUUCUUAAUCUGUAAAGCUGGGAUGAAUUAUUGAAUGAAAACUCCUCAACAGAUAAUUCAGAAGUGACUCAAAAUUCAGAAAACAGAAAGAGAAAAUCAAAUUAAAUUUAAUGAAUAGUUUUAUUUCCAAGGCAGCAUAGGGUAUCCUAAUUUCACUAAUAUUAAUUUGAAAAUUUACAGUAUUCGGGAUUUUAUUUUGUAAUGUCUUCUGUAAAUUGUUAAAUAUUAUUGUUGAGAUCUACCUACCUAUCUACCUAGCCAACUUCAUAAAAUAUUUAAUCACCUUUAAAAUUUAUGUUUUAUUAUCUUUAUCCAUGAAUUAAAUUUAAUGAUUUUAAAAAAUAAGUUUAUGUUACAAUUAAAAUUAUUUUACUGGUAUACAAGUAUAUUUUACAUAUUCAGAAAUAUUUAUUUGUUAUAAAUUUUAAUAACUGUAAUUUUGAUUUUCAAAUAUAAAUUAUAAUUGUAAAAUAUUUUAUAUAAUAAUUUUUUUUAUUAUAAUUUCUACUUAUACAAAACGUAAAUAUUUAUUCGAAUAAUACUCGUGAAAUUGCAUGUGCAUUUGUUGAAUCUGAAGAUGGGCUAGUAUAAUUAAUUUUUAUAGACAAAAAACUGUGAUUGUAUCUUUUCAAUAAUUUGUAAAUCAGUUUCUUUUCUAUGCAUAUACUGAUGAGACUUAAAUAAAGAUUUUGUGUAUUAGUUAAACAUAAACAAAUUUCAACCAUAUUGAUUCCUACUUAAAACACCAUUUCCAAUAAUAAUACAUACAAAUCCAUCCACAGAAAAUACAAAACGAUUUAUCAGAGCUAAAAUAUAAUGUAUGAUAUAUCAUAAUCUUUAUUAGCAUGUGCUUGCUACUAUAAUUAAUUAAAGUUUUAGACAAAAAUUACCUUUGAAGAUAACUUGAUACACCUAAAGAGUUCCAACAUAAUGCAAAGCUAAAGAAAUAUAGGAAAUGAGCGUGGGUGGUUCAGUGUGAAUUGGAUAGGAGAUAAGACUCUAUUAAAUAGACUUCCUGAAAGUCUAAAUUCACCCAAUCAAUCAAAAUAAGUUUGAAUUCAAACUUCAUUGCCAAAAUGAAUCUCUGUGACAUUUUGAUUAUUGUACCCAAAGUGAAAAUUGUAGCCAUGUGAACAUAAAGUUCUGAGUAAAGUGUACGCUUGACAUGUAUUUUGAGGAAGAAAACAUUGUUUGUGAGAAAAUCAAGUUGUUGCUGCACGACUUUGCAAUUGAAGUUGCCAAUAAUGAGAAAUUUUUUCAUUUUGUGCUUAUGCAAAGUUGUUAUUAACAGUGAAGGAAACUUUGAAAAGGAAGACUGAAAAAUAUUAUGACCAAUGCAAGAGUGAGAGAAGCAAAGGCCACUAAAGACCCUAAUUUCCUUAAAGUUGGUAUUGGUUAUAUGGUCAUGUUGAGAAACCCAAACUAGCCCCUUUUAUAUACCAUUUAGCUCUAAGCAUCUUCCUAACUUUAUUUGUUUCCUUCACAAUACUACACGCAUGCACCAAUGGUUUUAGGAGCAAGUGUCCCAAAGCGUUUUUGGAACGGUUGUGACUCUAAUUGCUUUUGGAACGUUGAAUUUGGAUUUCACAGGCUGCGUCCUAAUUAAGACAAAGCACGUUUAUUUUUCUUUACAUCCCAAAACAUAGCAUAAUAUAUAUUUAAUUAUCUUUGAUUAUAAGUUUCUAGCAUUCACAAAUUUCAUUCCCCAAAUUAUUUGUUUGUUGUUGUGUGUGGUUUAUAGGGAACUAAAACACUAGUUUAUAGGGAACUAAAUCUCUGAAACUAUAUUUGAUAGUUAUGAGAAACUAGUAUAUGGUAUUCACAUUUUCUCUGUUGUUGAUUGCACUGCCAUUGUAUUAUACAUGUAUCAAGAAAACGUAGUGACUUUGUAAUUCUGUUUCGUAGUUUUUACAUAAAAAAUUACUAGAUUUUGUAAGAUAUGAAGCAAGUGUGGGGAUUAUUUGUUCCUAGGGAAAGUUUUAAAGUGAACUUGUAAGUGUCUUCAAAUCUGUUUUGCACAAUAAAUAAGUGCGACGUAUUAGAUUUCAAACAUUGCAAAAUAAAUGUUACAUGUUUACAUAGGUUUUUUAUUGGUAAGUAAUUCAAUUUUUUUUAGAGGUGGUUGUGAUUUUAUUAUAAUUUUAAAGUCAAAUAAGUGAGUCGACGGAUAUUGGAUAUCAAACAUGGAAUAAAUUUUGCAGUUUUUUAGGCCUGUGAUAAGAAAAUACAUACAUUACAACAUUAUUUUUAAUUAAAAUAUGUUUAGGAAAAUGAAAUGUCUCAAUCUGUGUAGAGAUUAAACUCUAUAUAAUGCUCUGAUACGAAAUAUGAUAUCAUCGGAAGUGUAAUUAUUUGGCAUAUAUAUUAUACUUUAACAGCCGAAAACAAUCAUUUACCAAUUAAUUAUAUUAAUAAUUUAAUUAUAUAUUUCAUUUUUAAAAUUAAAUUAUUAAAAUAAAAUUGUGAAAUAUAUCUUAAAAUAUAAUUUUUCACAUAUAUAUUCGAUGUAACGAAACUGACUUUUAACUAAUCCGAGAAAUCGGGUAAGAACUUUUCGAAGAACUGAAGUGCCUCUCCAUUCUGAUAUUGACAAAAGGAAUUUAAAACAUUCAAAUCAAUACAAAUUAAAUGUACCUAUAAGACUGAAUUUCAUUUCAAUGAAUUUUAUGAGGAAAAAGAUAAAUAAAAAAUAAAAUAAUUCUUUAUAAAAUUAGUUUAUGUAUAAUUUAAUUUAUAAAAAUUAAAAAAUAAUUUUAAUUUGUGUAUAUAUAUUAAUUUUUAUUUAUAAAGAAAUUUGUUUUAUUUUAUUUUUCAUACUUUUUCUUAUAAAAGUCCUUUUAGAAAGACUAGUCUAAAUAUAUCCCAAAAAAUAUAUUAUUGUACUACGACAUCAGUACACUGACAUCAUGCAUAUGACAUGACUGAAAAACUUUACUUUGAUUUUAAUUUUUCACAUUUUUAUUCAUCUUCUCAAGUUUCUUCAAUUAAGUAAUAAUAAUUUAGUAAAAUAUUUUUUUAAAUGAUAAAUUGUUUAUUAUUUAAUUAUCUUAGUAUUUUUUUUAAUUAUUGUUAUUUAACUGAAUAAAUGGAGAAAAAUGGCGCGAAAUUUCACUAUUAAUAAAAAUUAAAUUUAGAGAUAAAUAAUUUUCUUUAUGAUAAUAAAAGUAAAAUAUAUAAUAAAAAUUGAUAUUAUAAUAAUUAUCAAAAUAAUUAUUAUUAUAAAAUAAAUAUUUUUAAGGCAUAAUUAAUUACCCUUUUUCUUGCAACAUUUUCUAACUUUAUUCAAUUUAAUCUCUAUAUUUAAAAAAUAAAUAAAAAAUGAUACCAAUCUUGUUUAGAAAGUUCAAUAUGAUUUCAACUUCUUUUACUAUUCAAUCUGAUUCCAAUGUUUUUAAGAGUUUAGGGUGGUCCCGUUUUUUUAAAAAUAACUCAAUAGGAUGAUUCAAACCUUUUUUUUUUUUAAAUCGCUAAGAUAUUAAAAUGAAGACAUUUAGCAUGAAGGAUCACAUUAAAUCGUUUCUAAACAAGAUUGAGAACAUUUUGAAUUUUUUAAACAUACGGAGAUUAAAUUAAAUAAAGUCAUAAAAUGUUGAAAAAAAAGUAAUUAUGCCUAUUUUUAAUUAAUUUUUAUAAUAUUAUAUACUACAAGAAAAUAUUUAAAUAAAAACUAAUUUUAGAGAAAAAAAAUUAGUUAUUAUAUUAAGUAAGUUAUAUACUAUUUUAUAAACUAAACAAUUUUUUAUAUAUAAAGUAGUUUUUAUUAUUAAUAAAAUUUACAAACUAGUUGUUAAAUUAUUAUCUAUCAAGGUUUUAGCUAUUAAUUAUGUUAGAUUAUAAAUUAAUUAGAUUAAUAAUAAGUAUAAUUGUAAACAGUUAUGUGUAAAAAGAAACUUUUAUUUUGAAAGAAUAAACCUUAUUAAAACCUUAUAAAAAAAAUCCUAUUGAGUUGAAGAACAUUAGGGAUAAAAUAUUGAGUUAAGGAAAAUUAGUACUUUAUCUUAUAUUCAACGCAAAUCAUAAUGUAUACACCAUAAAUCAAUCAAAAAGGUGUUUCUACCAUAGAUGUUUGGGGAAUACACUGAUAUCCCACAAUAUGUUGGGUAUAUUUUUGGCCCAAAGAUCUUUGGGUUCCCCAAGAUUCUUUUUGAGUUAUGGGUUUUGCGUGUAGGAGUAUGGUAAGUUUGUGACAUAUGAAGUUAGGAUCAAUCUCUAGCGUUUCCACUAGACUCCAUGUGAAGAGGUCAGAGUUACUGAAUAGUACCUUUUCUAUAAGGAUCUAAAAAUUUACUUUAGAGUAAAAGUGGUAUAUUUUAAAUGAUACUUGAAUAUUUUAUUAUUAAAAUGAAAAGAACAUAUAAAUAGAAAAAUCAUUUAUUCAGAUUUCAUUUCAAAAGAACCACCAUCUCUCUAGAAGUUUCUUUUUUCCUUUCCUCACCCUACUCUCUAAGAUUAUGACCUCCUCGCUCAUCAAUUUGACGAUCGGAGUCUGCUAUUAAACUCUUGGCAGCGAAGACUACAAGACUGCCCAAUCAAAAUCUCUUAUAGAGUAAGUUCAAUUUUACUCUUCUCUUUGAGUCAAAUUUUGAACUUGUAGGUCUGUCUCAAUUUAAGUUUACACAUUUGACUCUUUUAGCUUUAAGAUUAGUCUUUGUUAUCUCAGAGUCCUAGUCAUAUAGUUAAAAAUUUUAUCAGGACUUUGUGGUGCAUGUUAAGCUACUAUUGAAGCUUUUGGUAGGUUUGAAGCUCUUAGGCUUUGUUUGGAUCCAGGGGUGCCACUGUUGGCGACGACGAAAGUCACAACAACACCCCGUUUGGAUCCAUGCAUUGUUGCGGGUGAGGGUGCAGCGAAAGAGAAAGUUGAGUGAAUUGUGUUUCUUCUGAAAGAUGAAGAGAAAGUUUCACUGUGCAGUGCAAGUGCCAAGUCAUCACCACGAAAUUCCAAUGAUGCCCUUACUUUUGUGUUGGAAUCAAGAAGCACAGUGGCUGUGCAUGCAUGCCAGAUGAAAGCAUGAAAUUCCUGACUUGGCUCAGGAAUCUAUUGACCAUGUGAAAGUUUGAAACCUCAUCAAUGAAAUGGGUGAGAGGUAGGUGCGUGAGAUUUUUGGUUUCUUUAUAAACGUUGCUUCCUCCAUUCAUAGUCACAGAUAAGCGAAGCAUAAGCAAAGAGAGAGCGAAGCAUAAAGUGUGUAGUUGGAGAGAUUUGUAAGUCAUAGUGUGUGUUAGGGGCUUCAUUAACGUAGAGGUUAUUCAUCUGAAAGUGAUGUGUUCAUCUCUGGGUUCAUCUGUGCCUUCAUGUGGUUCAUCUCUGGGUUCAUCUGAGGUGAGUUUAUAUGUUUGAUUGUUGGUUAAUCGAUUAUGGUUUAAAUAUCACAGGCAAAAUAAUCGAUUAUAGUGUAAUCUGCAAAAUUUCCCAGGCAUAAUCGAUUAUCUGUAGUGUGUAAAAUUGCUCUUAAUCGAUUAUUUGUUGUGAUAAUCGAUUAUUGUUGUUUUUAGCCUAGUAGCAUAAUCGAUUAUGCUUUGAUAAUCGUCUUAACUGUGUAAAAGGGUUCCUAAUCGAUUAUGUGUUGUGAUAAUCGAUUAUGGUUGUUUUUUUGCCUACUAACAUAAUCAAUUAUGCGUUCAUAAUCGAUUAUCCUGUGUGUGUAAGUGAUGCCAUAAUCGAUUAUGUUCUAAAUUUUUUGAAAUAUAAAUGUUUGUUAAUUUAUUUGUUUUCUGUUAUUUUUAGGUGUGUUGAUCUUCCUAUAAGCCAUCCUAUUGCUGUUCUUGAGUGCUUAUCUUCAGGUUUUAAAUUUUUUUUAUGUAAAAUUAUUUUAUUUAAUUUCUGUUUUAUAUUUAUGAUUAUGGUUUUGUAAUAUAAUUUGUUUAGAAUUUAUUUUAGUUUAUUAUGUUAAGGCUGUUGUUGUAAUAUAAUUUUUUUAGAGUUUAGUUUAGUUAAUUAUGUUAAGUAGUUACUAGAUAGUUAAUUAAAUAUGUUAAGGAGUUUAGUUUAUUAAAUUAAUUGUUUCAGUUGAUUUAUUAUUUUAAUUUUUGUAGAUAGUUAUUAAUUUAUUAAGAAAAAUAUUUAUUUCUAUGAAAUGAAUUAUUUACAGAAUGGAAACAGAAAUUUGUAAAUUUUAGGUUUUUUAUUAUAUUAAACAUAAAUUAUUAAUGUUAUAAUUAAAUCAAAUAAAAAAAGUUGUUGUGAUUAAAGAAAACUGAAAAAUUUAAGAUAAAUAUUGUUUAUAAGAGAAUAUAUAUUGUAUAAUAAUAAAUAUACAAAGUUAAUAAAUAUUGUAUAAGAAAACUGAAAUAUUGUAUAAUAAUAAAUAUAUAAAGUUAAUUUUUUUUUAACAUUUAAUAGAAAUGUUUAUAAGAGAAUAGAUAAUUUUUUUAAAUGAAUAUUUGUAUUCUGUAUGGUUAAUAUUUUUUUAAAUUGGACAUAAAUUAUUAAUGUUAUUAGUUGAAAAGAUUAAAAAAAAUGUUUUUGUAAUUUUUGUUAUAAGAUUUAAUUGUUAUAAGAAAAAAAUGAAUGUAUUUAAAAUGAAUAUUUUUAAAAAUUUGUAAUUUGUAGGUUUUUUAAAAAGUAAUUGAUAUUUUAGAAGUAUUAUUUUUAAUUGAUAUUUUAGUUAUAAAUGUAGAAAGUAAUUAUUUAUUUCAAAAUGAAUUGUUUAUGAAAUAGAUUUUAAAAAAUUUAUUUUGACAUAAUGGAAUUCAAAAUUUUAAAAAUAUUUGAUAGGGUUUUCAUUUUUGUAGAUUAAACAUAAUUUAUUAAUGAUAUAAUAAAAAACAUUAUAAAAAUGUUGUAUUAAUUAAAAAAAUAGUAAAAGUUUAAAGUAGAAAUAUCAUUUUGAGUUAUUUUGAGUUAUUCAGGUGGUGAAAGUCAAAGGAGGUUCAUAUGAAUGAGUAAGUUGCUUGAAAGAUAACUAAUUUGACUUGCUAUAUGAAUUAACCCUGUCAUACUAGGGAGAGAUUGUAUUGAGAUUAUUUAUGCGCAUAAAUGUGUGGAUUUCACAGUAAUAUAGUAUGACAGGUGCAAAUCUUUGAGUCUAAGUUAACGCACGAGUCUUCCGGAAAUAUAGUCAAAUGUCUAUGUGUUGUGAGUCAGUAGAAGUCUGACAUGUGAAAGAUAAAUUAUGAAUUUUAAUAGACACUUGAUGAUUUGAGAAAUUUUAUGAGACUUGAUGAAUUAUGUUUAUUAAUGUGAAAUUGAAAUUAUAUAGAAAUUUUUAUAUAACUAGCUUACCAUGUUCUUUGUUUGUGUUUGUUUCUUUAUCUGUGAUGAUCGUGUUUUACACGAGAAUGAGAUUGCAGGUAAUAGAGCUCCUUAGUGAGCACCUGAAGGAUGAAAUUACUUUAAUUUGAAUGUUUUGUUUUGUUUUUAAAACUUUUGGUGUAUAUAUUAAAAUUAUACAAUUAUGAGAUAGUUGUAUAUACUCAUAUGUUAAUUAGAUAUUGUUUGUUUUACUUCUGUUUUAUUAAAUAUGGGUAAAAAUUAGGAAUGUUACAUCUUCAAUCCGCUUUCGAAGAUAUCAACUAACUGAUUUACCAAUCUCCAGGUUGACUUUUGAGUUGCACUUAUACUAGGGGUUCAUCAAAAGAUGGUCGAUUCUCCACAAACUCGGCCCUAGGAUCUAGAAAACCUCAUUCUCAUCGUCUUAUGGGAACUCAAUGUGAAACGCCUGCUCGAUAAAGUUGUUGGUAUCCCCAUGGCCUUGGUCAUUUACUUCCCUGUGCUCCUUCGGGUAGGCUAUGGCCUCGCCAAUUGUUGUUGUGGUCAAGGUCUUUACAAAAUAAGAGAUGACCUUGAUGUUCUCAACAUAACACUCCCUUAUCAUCUUCAGAUUUGCCUUCACUAUGAUUAUUUUACCAUUGUCACUGAAAACUUCAUGGUCAUGUGUAGUCGACACUAUGGCGUCCAAUUGAUUAAUACUUUUGCAUUUGAUGAUGUCAUUGCAGGAUGUGGUACCACAAUGAGAGAUAAAUGGAACUCUUAUUCUGGUCAGGGGAAUAGUAUUUUUGUUUCAAAGGUAAGCUGAAGAGUAUGAAAGUUGAUAUCAAGGUGUGGAAUUGGGAUGUGUUCGGGCACCUGGAAUCUGAGAAGAAGAAUUGUUUGAUGGAUAUUGAGGAGCUUGAUGUCAAAGAUGAGGGUGAUGCUUUGCCAGAGAGUUUAAGGACGAGAAGGUUGGUUCUCAUCAAUCAUGUAGAAGAGAUCAAUAAGAAGUUGGAAUCUAUGUUUAGGCAGAAAGCUAGAGCUAAUUGGCUUACGUUUGGGGACUCUAAUUCCAAGUUUAAUCAUUAUGUAAUUAGAUGGAAGAGACUUAGAAAUGAGGUUAAGGGUGUCGAAGUGGGAAGUUUUUGGGUUGAGGAAUCUAAGGUAGCGCGCAGGGAAGUGGUGAAGCUUUUUGAAGCUAAAUUCUCGGCUACUCAGGAUUUUGGAGUCAGACUUGAGCAUGUUGAGUUCAAAUCCUUAUUAGAGGAGGUUAGCUUAAGUCUGGUGUCCAAGAUCACAGAGGAAGAAGUAAAGGAUGUUGUCUGGUUGUAUGAGGGGUCAAAAAGUCCUGAACCAGAUGACUUUAAUUUUAAUUUUAUCAAGAACAGUUGGGAAGUGCUGAAGCUUGAUGUGGUAGCUGUUGUUCACCCUUUUCAGGAAACAAGUUGUAUUUCUAAAGAGUGUAAUGCGUCUUUUAUUAUCCUUGUCCCCAAAGUUAGGGACCCUAUAAGUCUGGACCAAUACAAACCUAUUUCUCUUGUAGGUUCACUGUAUAAAAUUAUUUCGAAGGUCUUAUCAUGUCGCAUAAAACAAGUUUUACCCGAGGUUAUAGAUGACUGUCAAUCAACUUUCUUAAAGUAAAGAGAAUGUUAAAUAACGUUCUAGUUCUAGUGGCUAAUAAGGUUAUUGAUGAGAUGAGGAGAAAAAAAAAAAAUGUUUUGUCAAUUAUGAAAAGGCAUACAAUUCUGUCAGCUGAGUGUUUCUCUUUCAUAUCCUUUAAAAGUUAGAAUUUCACAAUAAAUGAAUGUUUCUGUUUGAUAUGCUUUGGAAGUUGUGAUUUCACAAUAGAUGGAUUGCGUGGAUCAGAGUCUUUUAAUAGAAAACAAGUAUUUUAAUAAUUUAUACAUAUGAAAGUACAGUGACCGUAUAAAAGUUGUUGUACUGUAACAAAUCAAUAUACAUUAUAAGUUCAUUAUUUUAUAUAAUAACUAUAUAGAUCGUCAAAGUUAAACUAAAGUGACUAUAAAUUAAACUAAAAAAUAAUUAAUUUCCAAAUAUUAUCAUGUAGAAAAUAAGUUGGAGUAAAAAAUAUUAUAAAAAAUAGCUUAACAAUGUGGAAAAAAGGAAAAGAAAAAAAAAACCAUGGAGGAAGAUAACUUUAACUAUGGACACACUCUGAAAGUGAGAUUCGUCAAACAUAUUUUAAGAGUUAUAGAUGAUAGUGAUGAUGAAUAGUGGAGAUAAGUUUCACUAUACUUGUUUUUACCUUUUAAGUAAAAAUUAACAUUCCUGAAAAAAAUAACAUUAUUCAUUUCCAUUUUGAUGGGGAUAAAAUUAGUCUCAUAUUAAUGUAAAAAGAAUACACUGUCUUCUUAGCACCAAUUAAAAAUAAAAAGUUAUAAUAAAAUAAAAUUCAAAAUAAAGUAUUAAAGAAAAUAUUGUUAAUAAUUUAAAACAAAUAUAAGAAUUCGUUAAAUUUCAUAUCUAAUUUAAAUAAUUAAAUUAAACAUUGUUCAUAUAAAGACAAAUUCGAAUAAUAGUAAGACAUAAAAUAUUUUUUCAUCGAGGUGAUUUCACCGAUUACAUGGAACGAUUGAUUGUGUUUUUUUUUCAGAAAAAAAGAAAAAAUAUCUCAUUUGCUUAAAGACAAAAGAAUAUUAACUAUAUUUCUAAAAAUAAAGAAUAAACUUAACAACGAGAACAACUAAUUAAUUAAAUACAUACGUUUGUAUAUAUACUAGUAGCCUAUACCAUGUUUAAUUAUGAGUAUAUGCGAUUAUUCUUAAAUUAUUAUGUCACUUUUGUUUUUCAUAUCUAUGUCCUUCUUAUUUGAAGGCUAAGCCUAGUCACGCAUCAACUUGAACAUCAACUUGGAUUCCUACGGUCCUAUGAAUGCAUAUAACUUGCCCUCAAUCCCACAAUUACAUAAAUUAAAUAAAAUAUUAAAACAAAUAAUUUAAAAACAACUUAAGUGGUUUAAAGUCAGAUUCACUUUUGUAUGAUUUCUUUAAAAAAAAUUACCAUUUUAUUUUAAUUUAUAUGUUACUGUUUAUUAUAAAAAAAAUUAAUUUUAAAAAUUAAAAAAUAAUUAAUUUUUAUAUUGAUUAAAUUAGAUAUUAUUCUUUUAAAUAAUAUUUUAAUUUUUUUUAUUAAUAUCUAAAUUAUUUUUUAUUAUUUUAAAUUGAUAUUUAAUUAAUUAUAAUAUUUUAAUUACCAAUUUUAAAAUUUAAAUACUUAAUAAUUAAAAACUUAACAGCUAAUUAGAUAUUAAUUUAAAAAUUAUUUAUUAAUAACAAAAAAUAAUUUAGAUAUUAAUAAAUUUUUAAUUUUUAAAAUAGUAUUUAAUUUAAUUAAGAUAAAAAUAAAUUAUUUGUUAUUUUUAAAAUUAAUUUUUAUUUAAAUAUUUUCUAACAGUGGGUGAAGCAUAAUUUCAGAUGAAAGAGAUUUUAGGUGUUCUUUAAAUGGAUUUACUUAUAAUAUUGGUUUACAUUAAUUCAAUAUUGCAAUGGUUAUACAAACAUUUUUAACAAGUAUUGUAUUGAUAAUAUUAAAACGUAUUUUAUUUAAUAAGUUUGAUAAAACUUAAUAAAUAAUCAACUUAGGCCUUCCAUGUUAUAGUUUGAAGAAUUAAAAUUGAUUUUUGGUAAAGAAAGUUGGAAAAUGGUGAAGAUUUGUUCCCCCUUCUCGAAAACAAGUUUAAUAUUAAGUGAAAGUGACAUAUGAGAUCCUGAUGGAUCUAAAGUGGAAAACCAGUUUAUGAGAGAUUGGUGUUUUCGAAAGCACCUCAGAAAAAAACAUGUCGGUUGAUUUUAUAAAGGUUCUCGAAUUAAGCAUGUCGGUAAUGACAUUUAAAAUAAACAUGUUUUAUUGAAUCAAAUCUGCAAUUGGUGAUUUGUGUCUGAGACAAUAGGCACCCUUUCAUCAUCAGGAGCAGUUAUCGAUAUUCUUCACAUAAAAUAGUGGAGUUGGUGGUCACUAAUCAAAUGCAACCUCUUUCUUUUUUUUGUUUUGACAGCUCCCAUAAUGAAUUUUUUUUGAAGAAUUUGCGACCUCUUUCACACUGAUUACAUUCAUUUAUAUUUAAAUAAAUUAUUAUUUUAUUAUAAUAUAAUAUUUUAUUUAAAAAAACUUAAUACAUUUUAUUAUAAUACAAUAUUUUAUUCCAAAAAAAUAUUAUAGAAUAAUUACUUUUACUAUUUUGUCUGAAACAAAUUUUAAUCAUUUUAAAUCGAUGGCCGUCCUCCUGGAGCACUAGACCCCAGAUCUGUGAGCUACCGAUGUUGACGAAAGUAUAAAGAAAUAUUUGGAAGUGAGAAUUGCAUUAAUUUAGGAAAACUAAAUGAUUCUUUCUACAAAAUUAUUCUCACUCCUUAAAACCUUGAAUCGUGAUGUCCCAAAUAGGGCACAAAUCAAGCCACCCAUCUUAAAACCCUCAAUAUUGUCUUUACAUCUUUAUUUAUGAGAAAAUAUAACUUAAUAAAUAAUAUUUAUGUUGAAGAUUUUUAUUAUUAAUAAAAAUAUUUUAUAAUAUAUAAAUCAAUAUACACUUUAUAAGAUAAUAAGAUUUGAUAAGAUUGAAUUAAAUUUAAAGUUUAUUUUUUUAAUAUGGUAUUAAUAUAGUUUAUUUUAAUAAAAAUUUAUUAGAUGAUUAAAUUAUCUAUUAUUAGAUUCUUAUGGAAUGAUUCAUUAUAUAGUAUUAAACACAACCUAACAAUCUCGAUGAUAGAUGUUAUGUUAAAAAUUAUGUAUUAAUUAGAAAUAAUAAUAUUUUAUAAUAGGUAAGUUGAUGUAAAUUUUAUUUCAUAAAUUAAUUUUAUUAAAUAGAGUUAUGUUAAAUAUAUUUAUUAAUAUUUCAAACAAAAUUGAGUUAAUUACAAUAAAAAUUAUAUUACUAAGAAUAGUCACAUAUGCUUAGAUAAAAAAUGUUAUCAAUUCAAGUGAGUAUCUGGUCUUCUCCAAAAAAAACUCAACAAAAAUGUCACAUCUUUAGAACUCUAUUUAUGGAUAAAUAAAUAAUUAUCUUAUCUUAAUGUAAUAUAAUUUGUUGGGUAUAUCUUCUUCCAUUUUUCCUACAUAUAAUAUUGACAUAAAUUUAAAACUAGUAUUUUUAUUUAUAUAUAAUAAAAUUUAUAAAUUUAUGUUAUAUACUAAUUUAAUAAAAUUAAUUAAUUUGUAAAUAAUUAUAAAAAUUUGGUGUAUUAUAUUUGUUAUAGAUAUUACAUUAUAAUUUUAUUAUAAACUUAUAAUGUAAUAUCUAUAACAAAUAUAACACAACAAAUUUAUAUAAUUAUUUAAAAAUUGUGGACACUUAUUUCCGCUAGUAUUUAUAAUUAUUCUGACAUAAAAUUUUAACUAUAUUUUUUAGGAUAUUAAAUAAUUAUUAUUCAAAUAUUUUUAAGAUAUUAAUUAUAUUUUGAAAACAUUAUAUCAUUUUUGUAAUAUAGAAAUGGUUAUAUAAAUAUAUUAUAAUUUUGUAUAAUUUAAUUAAUAAUUUUUAUAACUUAUUAAAAAAUAAAUUAAAUUUUUUUCUAUAAAAUUAUAUGCAAUUUUUUUCUAUUUCAAUAUAAUUUAUCUUAUAUCUUAACAUUAUUUAGUUUGUUACCAUAUUUUUAUCUUAUUAUAUUUUCAUCAUGCCAUAUUUUUAUUUUAUUGUAUCAUAUUCUUCUAUUUUAUUAUAUUGUGUUUACUAAACGAAUGUUUAAAAUUUAAAACAGUUAUAAUUUAUAUACAUUAUUUUCUCUAAACUCAUUAAGACGUUUUUGAAAACAAAGAAUUUAACAAAAGUUGAUAUUACACAUGAAAUAAUUCUCAAUCAAAUUUGCUAACGUAAUCAAUUUCUUUUGUAACAUCCUAAUUUUUACCCAUAUAUAAUGAAAUAAAAGUAAAACAAGCAAUAUCUAAUUACGAAUAAUAUAUAUACUACUUUCUCAUAUGUGUAUCUCAAAAGAAAUAUCCCUCCUCAUAGGGAUUUAAUAUAUACAUCAAAAGUUUUAACAACAAAACAAAGCAUUCAAAUAAAACUAUCUCAUUCUCCAGCUGCUCACUAAGGAGCUCUAUUAUCUGCAAUCUCAUCUGCUCCCGUGUAAAACACGAUCAUCACAGAUAAAGAAACAAACACAAACAAAUAACAGGGUAAGCUAUCUAUAUAAAAAGUUUUGAUAUAAUUCAAAUUUUAAAUUAAUAAGCAUAAUUCAUCAAUUCUCAUACGAUUUCUCAAACCAUCAAGUGGCUAUUACAUUCAUAAAAUUCAUAUUUCAUAUAUCAGACUUCUAUUGACUCAUAACACAUAGACUCUUGACUCUACUUCCGGAAGACUCGUGCGUUGACUUAGACUCAGAGAUCUGUACCUGUCAUACUAGCUCACUGUGAAAUCCACACAGUUAUGCGCAUAAAGAAUCUCAAUAUCAUAUCUCUCCUAGUAUGAUAACUUCAUCUAUAUGAUUUCAUUAUCUCAGGAGAGUCAGGAUAUCUCCUUCUAGACGAAUCCCUAGUCAAUGCACAUCCUAAACAAUCUUAACACGAUAUUUUCUUUCCUGAAAAUACUAUGUUUUGAUUUAAAAAUAUAUUCUAAACAUUAAAAUCUCCCACAUCAAACAAUCAAAUCAUUCCACAAUUUAGAAUUUCCAAAACACCCAACAAUUCAUUUCAACUAGAAUGAAAAUAAAAGGAGAAUGAAAUAAAAUUAUCUUCCAACUACAACUAUAUCCAACAGUAUAGUAUUUAAUAAAAAGGAUGAGGAAGCCACAACAUGANNNNNNNNNNNNNNNNNNNNNNNNNNNNNNNNNNNNNNNNNNNNNNNNNNNNNNNNNNNNNNNNNNNNNNNNNNNNNNNNNNNNNNNNNNNNNNNNNNNNNNNNNNAAUUUUAGUUCAUAAACUGAAUCAUCAAGAAAUAUUCAAAAUAUAUAUGCUCUGAAAUUGUCAAGAAACAAAUAAUCACAAACCUUUUUCAAAUACAUUCAUCAAUUCCAAACUUAUAUACAUUCUACAUCAUCUACUAUAUCUAAAUUUUAGAUUUCAAUCUCAAAACAGUUUCAAUCUCAAACAUCAAUCUCAAACAUCAAUCUCAAACAUCAAUCUCAAACAGUUUCUAUCUCAAACAGUUUCUAUCUCAAACAGUUUCUAUCUCAAACAGUUUCUAUCUCAAACAGUUUCUAUCUCAAACAGUUUCUAUCUCAAACAGUUUCUAUCUCAAACAGUUUCUAUCUCAAACAGUUUCUAUCUCAAACAGUUUCUAUCUCAAACAGUUUCUAUCUCAAACAGUUUCUAUCUCAAACAGUUUCUAUCUCAAACAGUUUCUAUCUCAAACAGUUUCUAUCUCAAACAGUUUCUAUCUCAAACAGUUUCUAUCUCAAACAGUUUCUAUCUCAGUUUCUAUCUCAAACAGUUUCUAUCUCAAACCGUUUAAACAAAUUAUUCACCUUAAAAUCAAUAUAAAAAAUUCACAAUCAACCAUUUGAAGAGACAAUCCUGAAAGCAAAAACAAUUGAAAUUGGUGACCACGUCACCUCCAAAUCCAGAAUCUUCUAACCUAUGGUUUCAUUGAAAAUAAUAAGACUAGCUUCCCUUACCUGAACUUUAGCUGAUGCUCACUAAGAGCUCCAAAUCUACCAAAUGCACCGUCCUACUCAAAAGUUGAGUUAGAUAUUAACCCGUACAAAAUCUAAGAUUAACCCGUACAAAAUCUAAUAAGAUCAAAAUUAACUCAAAAGAAAAAGGGGUCAAGAAGGAACUUAAAGAAAAUAUUUUGAUGGAUUCAAAACCAGGAGUCCAACGGCAGACUCUGAUCGCCAAACUAGGAAGUUAGAAUCUUAUAGAAAAGGGAGAAAAGGAAAAAGAGGAACAAAACUGAACUUACUCUGAUCAUCAAACUGAUGAGCGAGGAGAGUUAGAGAGAAGGGAGAGUAAGGAAAAACGAAACUUUUAGAGAGAUGGUGGUUAUUUUAAAAUGAAACAUGAAUAACUGAAUUUUCUAUUUAUAUAUCAUUUUCAUUUUAAUAAUAAAAUAUUCAGUAUCAUUUAAAAUAUACAACUUCUACUCUAAGAUUAUCAUCUAAAAUAUUUAUAUAUCUUUUAACGCUUGCGUUGUUUUAAAGUUAACAAUACACCGCUCACCCUUAAUUUUGUUUAAUUUUGAAAGCUUUGAAAUAAAAAGCUAAUUCUCAACCCUGUCACUCCUUUCUUAAAGGAGCCCUUUCUUUUUUAUUCAACGCUCGAAACUAUUGUUUACAAGAAUAAUAAUAAUAAUAAAAAAACAAUUUCUCCUUUAGUAGUUUUGAAUGGGCCAAACUAUACUCUUUUCAAGAUCUCUCCUGGGCUUUUUCUUUCUGAAACUCCUAAUUUCAAUUUACACCUCCAUAAAUUUAUACUACAAGAAAAUCAUAAAAUAGAAACCAAUUUUUAGAUAUCAAAAUAAUUAGUUGUAAUAGUAACUAAAUUAGAGACCAGUUUAGAAACUAAAAAAAAAUUGAUUUCUAAAUUAGUUUCUAUUAUUGUUAAAUAAUUUUUAAAUUGGUAUCUAAUUAACUACUAAGGUUUUAACUACCAAUUAUUUAGUUUCUAAAUUUGGUUACAAAAAUCUUGGUUGCUAAUUAGAUAUCAAUUUAGAAACCAUUUAACAAUAAUAGAAACUAAUUUAGAAAAAAUAUUUUUUUUUAAUUUUUAAAAUGGUUUCUAAUUUAGUUACUAUUACAGCUAAUUAUUUUGAUUUUUAAAAAUUGGUUUCUAUUUCAUGAUUUUUUUUAGUGUUAAAUAUUCUAAAUUUAUCUUUUUAAAAUUAAAUACUUUAUUUGAUUAGUUGGUGUUAGAAUGUUUGUUACGUUUAUGAAGGAUGUGGUGUGGUUCGUAGUGGUGCUUAGUGCAUUUGGUGAAUAUCUGAAUUUUUGCAUUUUGAGUUUCACUUUUUUAUAUCACACAAUCUGGACAACUUUUACAUUAUAAAUCUAUAAUAUUAAUUUUUUAUUUUAUUUUAUAAAUUAUAAUCUGAAAUUUAUAUUUAUAUAUUUUUAAUAUAUAUUUUAAAAUAUAAAAUUUGUGAUUUUUUUAAAUAUUUUGUUUUUAUUUUAUUCUUAAGUUGUGGAAUUGCAUCACAAUCACAUAUAUUUCAUUGGUUUGUACAAACAACUAUAGAAAACAACUUUAGAAGUGAGGGCUGAAUAUAGAGAUGAAAUUCUAAUAUUGAACCAAAAUAUACGAUGAAGUAGAAAAGUUGUUUGUGAUGAAUCAAUUGGAUAUAAUGAAGUUUGUGACAACUUAAAAUGAAUUGGUUGAAGGAAAUUGUGUUUGCUCUUUAACAACAAAUAAUAUAAUUAUAAUUUAAUUAAUUUAAGUAGAAACAUGUGAUAUAUGACAUUUUUUUUAUUAGCAAAGAAUAGAAUUAAAUUAAAAGGGACAUUUCAAACCCUUAUACAAGAACCAUUCACCACAUAUAGCUAUAACAGAUCGAGGCAACCAAACCAUAAAAAUAAAUACAACACUAAGAAACCAGACACGAAAGGGCUGCCAAUACAGCUACAAAAGUGCUUCUGAAUUAUGCCGCAGAAACAAGGAAACUUGUCCCAGCAACCUGUACCGCAUGAGCUACAUUAAACGCCAUCUGGAUGCUGCCCCAUGACUACAAUACCUCUGUUGCAGCCCCAAAAACAUCCUGCUGAAACCUGCUUCUAGUCCCUUGGCCCAUCUUGUUGGUACUUCAAUGUACACAUGACCCCCAAACUGCUUACAACCGGAUCACCUACAUUGCACAAAACUAGCAACCAACAACAUUCCAACCAAAUCUUCACUUGGAUUGCCUUAAUUACUAAAGCCAAGUAGAUUCCACCUUUUUCACUUACCAACAGCACCUUCCAGGUACACCAAUGGGAGCUCCAGAUAUAAAACCAACCACGUCACAAGAUCUAAAGCAGCAUGUCGGGUUUACCUUCUUAUUUGGACAACAGCAAAAAUGCGCCUUCCAAAGGACCAAUCACUUCAGCUGCUUGUCACAAAUAUGCAAUAUAACUUAGGUCCACCCUGCACCAGCAUAGUUGGCUGCAACGCAUCAAAACAACCCCUCAACAUUAGAUUGUUACACCGUGGUCAGAGAUUGAUCAUAGUCGUGACUCAUGCAUUUGAAAGAUUCAAAAGGAGAGUCCCUUCGCACUCAUUCACAUAAACUCUCAGCUUUGGCAUAAGCUUUCCUUCAUAAUAGGAUACUCCAUCCCAAUCUAUUCUAGUAGCUACAAUCACAUUACAUCAGGAAAAACUUCUAAAAUGCUACCCCACACCACAGCUCCUACUUCACUCACCUUUCAACACUUCCUACUGAUUUCCUCACCACUUCCUCCCUUAAUUUCAUCUGCUUCACUACAUAACCGUUAUGCUUCAAAUCUGGAUAUAGAAACAAGCUGUGUGAAUAUCAGUAUUCACAUUAACUGCUCAAAAGUUCUAAAAGACCCUGCUCUGUUUGAUUUCUGCAACAACUACACAACCACACCACUACAGAAUACUAUGCUCCUCCAUUAUGACCAUCAAUCAUUCCUCCAAAAGCUCCUUGGCUUCGAGUCCAUCAUCACUAGAGACCUCCCUUUUCAGAGUACACUUUGAAGGCAUUGGCUUGGGUUCAGAUGCCAAUUCGAAGAAGCAUACGAAAAGGAGCACACCCUGUGUUUCAACCAUAACCAAGUAAGGAGUUGAGCCAUUUGGAAAAUUUCUUCAGCGUCAGGUACCCCUAGCUUAAAGAUAACACUAUUCCUCUUCUCCAAGAUGCAUCGAACUAUUGCCACCCACAUACCUUUCAACACUUGAUUCGGCUUAAUAGACAUAUGAGCCAGAUAAAAGUUCUCAAAGUGACACCUCAAAUCCUUAUGUUGAACAAACAUAACACCUAUCCACCUGAAGCAUAAAGACCAAACUCGUUGUGCAAAAGAACACUCCCAGAACAAGUGUUGAGUAGUUUCUUCUGACUCUCUACAAAGCACACAAAUAGAAGAGUUUACUGCCACCCCUCUCCUAAGAAGAUUAACAGAAGUUGGGAUUUUGUCGAGUAAGAUUCUCCAUGCAGUUAUAAGGGCUUUAGGCAUUGCUUUAACCUGCCAAAGAGAACAAAAACCGCUAUCAUGUGCAUCAUUGUUUUGAUUAGCCAGACGUACAUAAGCUGACUUCACAGAGAAGUUCCCUGUGGUAUCCCCUCCCCAGACAAGAAUAUCCUUGGAUUCCUUGUUCAUGAUGCCUUUGUUAAUGUGCGUAAGCAACUCUUCCUCCAAAAACGGAUUCCCAAUCAAACCUAGCCCUCCUCCAAUUUAGCCUCCAUUGCCAUCCAUAAACCUCGCACGUACCUACCUCUCCCACCUUCAUUCCUUGAUCCAUAGAAAGAGAAUAAAGUCUAGGAUACAUAGACUUAAGAUUAUUGUUAUUAACCGAAGCGUCUUCCCAGAAUCUAACAUUGCCUCUAUCACCAACUUUCCACACAAUAGUCUUUUGGAACCAAUCAUCAUCUUCACCCUCUCCACAAGCUUUAGAAAGAUCUCUCCACCACCAAGACUGUCAUUUCGAACGGGCUUGGCUUCUUCCUAAUUCCGAACCAUACUUAGAAAAAAGAAUGUCUUUCCACUUCCCUUUUUCAUCCUUCAUCAGUCAUCAUUUCCAUUUUUGUCAGCAAAGCAUUAUUAAAGUUUAUGAAAUCUUUAAUCCCCAACCCUCCUUUCUCAAGGGGUUUACACACAUUCUCCCAUCUUACCCAUGAUAUAGACCAGUUAUCUCUGCCCCAAGCCCAAAGGAACUUCCUUUGUAUACUGAUUAUUCUGUUACAAACCGACAUCGGUGCUUUAAAGAAGGACAAGUAAAAGAGAGGAAUGGCGGUAAACACCGAUUUAAGUAAGUAGACUCUUCCUGCCAUAGAUAAAAAUCUCCCCUUCCAGAUACUAAGUCUAGCAUUGAUUUUGUUUAUGACUGGCUCCCAAAACUAUUUCUUCCUUGGGUUACCUCCUACUUCUAAUCCCAGAUAUUUAAAAGGGAUCGUCAUGGUCAUGCAGUUCAGAGUUUUUGCAUAGGUAUUGAGGGAGAAGCUAUCAACACCAAUGCCUGCCAACUUUGAUUUGUGGAAGUUGAUUUUUAGACCUGAGGCAAGUUCAUAACACCUUAGCAUCGCCUUUAUAGUGAAGACAUUAAAGAAUGAGUCUUCGCACAUAAACAAAGUGUCAGCAGCGAAUUGUAACAAACAACACUCAAUUUCAUUCCUCCCCACCUUCUCACCUUUGAGCAAAUUCAGUUUUGACACUUGUCUCACUAACCCGGCCAAGCCUUCAGCUACCACGAGGAAGGGAAACAGAGCUAAAGGAUCUCCCUGUCUUAACCCCCUAGAGGGUUUAAAUUCCUCCGUAGGGCUACCAUUAACCAGAACAAACACAAACAACGACUCCAAGCAUCCUCUGACCCACGCAAUCCAUUUAGAAUGGAAUCCCAACCUUUGUAACAUAUCAAAGAGGAAUUUCCACUUAACCGAGUCGUACGCCUUUUCGUAGUCCACCUUCAAACAAAUCCCACUCCUCCGUUUUCUAGUUACCUCCUCAACCACCUCAUUUGCCAGAAGGACACUAUCUAACCUUCCACGAUCCUUCAAAAAAGCUAACUGACUCUCAUCAAUGACCAGAGAGAGGACAUCCUUCAUACGAAACGAUAACACCUUAGCUAUGAUCUUAUAGAUGGAUCCUACAAGGGAAAUUGGUCUGAACUGGUCAAGCGUAGUAGGGUCCCUGACUUUAGGUACAAGUGCGAUGAAAGAGGCGUUACACCCCUUUGGAAUGCACCCCGUUUCCUAAAAGAAGUGCAUCGCUUCCACAAUGUCAGACUUAAAAGUUUCCCAACUAUUCUUGAUGAAAUUGAAAUUGAACCCAUUCGGGCCCGAACUCUUUGAACCUUCACAUUGCCAAACAACUUCCUUCACCUCUUCCUCUGUGAAGCUGGACACUAUUCUUAAACUAACCUCCGCGGGAAGGGUUUUGAACUCCACAAUACCAAGAUUAACCCCACAAUCAUGUGUAACCAAGAAUCUUUGAUUAAAUGUACUCUUAGCUUCCCUACAAAUAACUUUCAGCUCUUCACACCAUUGAUGAUCAAUCUCUACACCUUUGACCUCAUUUUUAAGUCUUCUCCACUUGACUCCAUUGUGAAAGAAUUUAGAAUUUGUAUCUCCCAACUUAAACCAGUUUGCUCUAGAUUUUUGUCUACAAAGAGAUUCCACCUGCUUAUCAAUCAGCCUCAACUGACUAAACAACUCCAUUCUUCUCAACUGACCGUGCUCCUCAAGAAUAUUGUUGUCAUCGUUAACAUCGAGAUCUUCAAUAUGCCUCAAAAUUUGCUUCUUCUUGGACUCUAGACACUCAAACACAUUUUUGUUCCAUUCUUUAAGGUCGGCCUUUAGAAGCUUCAAUUUAUCUUUGAGUUUAGAUAUGCUAUUCCCCUGCACAUUAUAAGAACACCAUUUCUCCUUCACAAAGUCCUUGAAACUAGGCUCCAUAAACCAUGCGUCAAUGGUUCUAAAAGGUUUAGACCCCCAAUCUUUGACCGAAAAUUUCACCACUAUAGCGCAAUGGUCGGAUACCACUCUCGGUUGUACAUAUUGCUUGCAAGACGGCCAAAUUUGAAGCCACUCUUAGGAAACAAGAAACCUAUCUAAUCUGCUUUUACCUGUACCAUUUGACUUGAACCAAGUAUAUUUUUGACCUACUACGGACACGUCCACCAAGUAAUUGCUUUCAAUAAAAUCAUUAAAGCCACUAAUCUCCUUUUUUUUGACUAGAAUUGCCUCUAACUCCUUUCCUUUCAUCUUCUCUUCUAACUGCAUUAAAAUCCCCACAAAAGCACCAUGCCACACUUUGAUGCAUACUCUUAAAAGACGUCAAAGUUUCCCACUGAGCAACCGUAUCACUUAAAUUGCAUGCUGCAUAAACGUUUAUCACAACACACAAGCUAUUAGAUUUAAGGUGUUGGCCCAGAAUAACAAUAAAGCCACUUCCUACAACAUGUUUAUCAUACCGAAAUGCUUCUUUGUGCCACAUGGAUAAGAUGCUCCCUGCCCCAUUCACUCCUUCAUUAUGUAUCCACCCAACAUUACUAUCUCUCCAUAGCGAAAAACAUUUAUUGUCUGAUAAAGUAGAUGCUUUUGUCUCUUGCAAACAUAAGAAUUCCGUACCCUCCUUAGCAAUAAAGUGUUUCAAAUAGCGAGCUUUAGAAACCCCCCAGACCUCUAAUAUUCAUAUUGAUAAUAAUCAUAACACACCGGCAUCCUCCUCAGACGACAUCAUUACUUCGUUAUCUCUAACCUCCAUACAAUCCAUUUCUCUAAUCACUGCCUCCUCAUUACCUGAACAUUUCAUCCCCAGAUGUUUACCCGUUCCCCACAACUUGACAGAUUCAGUAUCAUUCCAUUCGACCCUCAGACGGUUAUUACAAUUGAUAAUAUCACUAUCAGUUCCGGCUUUAGAGCAGAGGCUUAACCUGGAUGAGGAUCUGAUCCCAUAUUGAAGGGUUCCUUGGCCUCCCUUGGACAUCCUUCGUGGUUGUGCAGAGGUCGCACCCAAUUCCCAGAGAGCGCGUAUCCUCUGGACUCUCUCUGGUGACUUGAACCCUUCCUUCGCACCUGCAUCUUCCUCCCAGUGCCAUCGGUCCUCCUUUCUAACACUAAAUUAUCCUCGAUUCCCUCUUCGCAGAGACUUUGAUUAUGGUUAUUAAGAAGGUCCUUGUCGCUGCAUUCCGAGGAGCUUCCGUCAUUGCCGCACCGCUUAACAAAAGGAGUUUCUUCUGUUUUAGUCAGUGUAUUCGCCUUUCCUUUCGUCGGUAGGGGUGCCCCAUAUAACAACUCACCUGAACGAUUCUCCAUCUCACCUUCGACGUCACCGGAGUAGACAGGCGAAGCCUUCGGACUUCCUGUCACUCCUAACAUGUCCCCUGAAUGACCCUCUGCCUCUCUACCCCCACCUCCCGUAUUCACAGGGCCCAAUAACAAAGUUUUUUGAUUUUGGGCUUCAACGACAAAAAGAUGGCCCACACAUGUUUCAGGCCAAGUAACCUUUGCACAAGAUAAUUGUACCUCAGCUAAGUUAGCCAAAGAAUUUUGAAUAAUCAUGCAAGCUGCGUUGACCUGUUGUGCCACUGAUAAAGCUGCCCCUACAUCAGAACCUACCUUCUCACGCAUUGCCUUAUUUGAGUAGGAGGAUCUGUCUUUUUGCUGACACACCAAAUCAUUCUGACAACACUCUUCCAAGAGCUUCUUUUUUUGUCUCUAGCGGAGCACAAACUUUGUCUCCUUCCUUGGUCGCCUCCGGUUGCCGUAAAACACCACCGUCAUCACCGUUCUCAUCCCCAUCAUCACUAGAUCUUGACGAGAAAAUCGUUUCCUCAACAAAGGAUUCCAUUGAAGAAACGCUAUCUGAGGAGUCGUAGUGAUUCACGGGGCAAUUACACACUCCUACCCCUUGCAAGGGUUCCUCCUCAACUAGAGAAAUAUUAAAAGCUUUUCCAUUAAUCUGAAAGGCCUUUACCACCCCUUCUUUACAGGACAACGACAUACGAACCUGGAAACGAGCAAAUUCUAGGUUCUCCCAUGAUAAUGUAGCCUCAUCUAUGGUUACCACAGACGCUGCUUCUCCAACCACCUUUGUAAGGCAUUCCUUGGUCCACAAAGAUAUGGGUAGACCAUAACAUCUGACCCAUACCAAUCUGUGGUUCGCUACACAUGCUUCAGACCAUGGUUCUACGUCCUUGAACACACUUACAAACCAGUCUUUGUUUAGCUUAAUAAUGUCUUCCAUAUGAUCCCCUUCCUUAGGUGUUAGGAGUACCAUGUUAUCUCCCAUAAAUCUAACUUUAACCAUACUCAUCCCCCUUUGAUAAGUUCUUCACAUAGUAAAUCAAAGUUCAUGUCUUCGGACAUCCAUCCAACUGCACUGUUAGCCAUCCAAGGAAGAACUUGUGACUUAGUUUCAAAGACAAGACCUUUCCACUUCUCUUGUGAGGUAUUUCUAACUACAUAAGCAUAAGAGUGACUCACGUUAUGUGCCCUUUUGACAUCCUUUCCUUUUUUUUUUUCUCUCCAUACCUCCUUACUUUUUGGCUUCACAGGUUCAUGAGUGAAAUGAUUUUUGGCCUGUAUGGGUAAAUCAGACUCACCACCUAAUUGUGCAGAUACAACUCUCUUGUAUUUAGGUAUGUUCACAUAUAACUUCAUGUUGCCAAUGUAGAUUUGAUCCAACUGCUUCUCUAGACAAAACACAUUUUCCACAUCAAAUAACCUCACAAAACCAAAUCUUCUUCCCCAUCUAUUAAGACGUUUUGAGAUGAAUACCUCUUUCACCCUAGCCCAUUUCUGAAAGAUCUUUAGCAUGUCAUAUUCGCCAAAGCCACCUGGAAAAUUUGAAAAGAAGAACGUAAAGUAAUUAUUCACCGAAAAAAAAUUUCUAUGCUCCUCAGUUUUCCGUCGGUGGCCUUCUCUCUCCCUCCUCCAACGUUCCUCCCUAGUCCUCCGCCAGCGCUCCUCCUUCAUGACCGUGUUUUAAUCAGUCACAUUUUAUAUGAAUAUCCAUUGAAAUGAUUCAACAAGUACAAGACAUAUGACAUAUACUUAUGUUAUAAUGUAUUUAUUUAGAUAUUUGGUAUGCAGGAUGACUUUAAUGGGUACAUAAGGUGACUGUUAAACUUUCCAUUUGUAACUGUCAUUUUGAGGUUCGACAAAGAGCAAAUGGGUCAAGGAAGAAAUACAUGUUUAUUGGAAAGUACUGUAACUUGUACAAAAUAAUGUGAUUUUACUUUUAAAUUAUUUUAAAUUAUAGAAUAAAUCAUUUUGCAAUGGAGAAGUUUGAGGGUUGAAGGUAAUAUGUGUGAUUUAUAAUCAUGAAUUUUUUUUAUGAAAACAAAAUUUGUAGAUAUUUUAUCUACGGACAUACAUCCUUAAAUAAUAUUAAUAAUAAAAUAUUACCCACCGAUAUAGAUCUGUAUGUAAAUUACUUAUAUCUUUAUAUUUGUAGAUAAAUUUAUCUAAAUAUUUAUAUAUGUAGAUAUCACUUACUAUUAUAUCUGUAUAUAGUAUUAAUAAUAUUAAUAUUAAUUAUGAUAAUAAUAAUAUUAUAAUUAUUAAUAUUAUUAUGAAUACUAUUUCUAUUAUUAUUAUUUAUUAUUAUAAAUAAUAUUAAUAAAAAUAAAAAAUAAAAAAUAAAACAAAAAUAUUUUAUCAUUAUUAUUAUUAUUUUUAAUAAUUUUUUUGAUAAUAAUAAUAAUAUUAUUAUUACUAUUAUUUUAUUAUUAUUAUAUAUUUUAUUUUGCAGGCCAGCAAACCAACCUGUCCCGCCCCGCUGUUGGCCUUCGCGAGUUGCGGUUAUGCGGGAUGAGUCUAAGCGGGUCAGCGAGCUAGAUUAGUGAACCCGCCCUACCCUUUUUAGUAGCGGGCCGCAGGUCGGUCCUCAUGGUCCACUCUACAUUGCCACCUCUAGCUUGUACCCAUAUUGGCAUAAAAUACGCUCUAACAAAUGGCAAUGUAUACACGUACCUAGAUGAGCAUAUCAAAAGAACAUGAAUAUCAACUCGAAUGAACUACUAAGAUGAUGGUCAUCGUAAGGAUUCCAAAUUAUCCUUGCAUGGGUCAGACCAUCCAACUGCAUAUACAUAAUGCUAACAUUGUGUAGUAAGCGGAUUGGGGAGGCCUUCGUUUACCAUUGGGACGCGUGUUCUCACUUUAAUCAGUUUUACCUUGAUUGAACUUCUCAGAAGACUAAGAAAUAUUGAAGGUGUUUGUGGAUUGCUAUGAUUGGGGAAAUUUAGAAACAAAGGAACCUCGUUAUCUUUAAGAAUGGUAGAGUGGAUUGUCUGGAGAUCUUCACCUUGGCCCAACUCAAGGUGUGGUCUUGGCUCACGAGUAGAGUAAACAAUGUUUCAUUUACGUAUGCUUAAUGGUGUCUGGACCCUUUGUUCUAUUUGAAGUCAAUUAAAAAGUAAAUGUGGAGUUGGGGUCUUUGUGAGUUUUGGUAUGUGUUGCAGGUUUGUCAGGUGGUUCCGGGGUUUUGAAGCUUAUUGAUUUAUUUCUUCUUAUUGUUUUACUUUUCCCCUUUUGGAUGGAAGAACUUGAUAGGAUCUUGGUAGGUUUUUUGGUUGGAGCUCUUGACCUACUAGGGUAAUGAGCCUUUAAAAUGGACGUUGUCGGGCAGUGCUAGUGGGGGGAAUCUUGUGGGGGCCGGUAGGUUAGCUUAGUUAACUUUGAUAUAUCUUGUUUUUAUGGUUUGGGUUCUACUAACGUUGGUCUUUGGCCAACAAAGGGGUUUAUUCUUGGUUGUAGGUUGUAAGUUGGAAUCUGGUGUUUUAUAGGUAAGCUUAGUUUUUUGCUUUAUCUCUGGUGGUGUGUUUUGAUCAGGGUUUAUGGAAAUCGGACAUAUCGGCAUGAAGGUAAAGGUACUCUAGGCUUUGAAGAAGAGUGGUUCUUUUAGCAUGAUGUUGUGAGUUUGGCUGUGGGUAAGGGAUUUGAGUUGUAUUAGUUUUUUGAUUUGUAACUAUGUUUGUAGAAUUUUGGUUGUAGUAGGAUUUGUUUUGUGUGUAUUGUUUGGACUAAAGACUGGUUGUAUGAACCUGGAUAGGGGAGUAAGGGCUAACUUGCGUGGUUUGCCACUCCUUUCUUUUGAGGUUGGGUUUGGAGGUCUGUAGAGCCUGAAUGGUCAGGUUUUGUGCAUGUUGGAUUUGGCUAUAUAAUGUAUAAGGGUUGAGACACCUGUGAAGUAUCUCCUUUUAUUAUAUUUAUUUUUUUGCUGAGAAAAAAUAAACAUUGUGUAUAUAUCGCCUAGUGACAUAUUUUCUUGUUCAUGAGUCAACCCCUAAUAAAGUGAGAUUCAUAUAUUUCACUCCUAUCCUUAAAAAGUGCUCGUGUAUCAAUGCCUAUUACAAUUUCAACAAAAAAAAAUUGUUCAUAUAUUCAUAUGAAAAUAAAUCUACCUUAUACAAAUUAUAUAUAUUAUCUACCUGUAAAAUCGUAAUAUAACUGUCCAAUUAUUUUUUUUUGAACAAACACAUAUUCCUUAACUAGUCCUACAUCUGAGUCACAUGUAUUAUUUCCUCAAGUCUUUAUACAUUUAUUAUACUAAUAAAAAAUGAAUUUACUCAAUUUACCUAUUUAUAACAAUAGAAUAAAAAAAUUUACAUAUUUUUACCAAAUAUUAACUAUAAUUAGAAAAUAAUAUUAUUAAAAUAAUAAAUAAAAAUUAAAGUGUUAAUAUAAUUAAGUAAUAAUAAAUAAAUUAAGUAGUCAAACUGUGGAUACAUUGAAAAAUGUUAUAAUAUUAAAAAACUGAAAAUGUCAAUCUAUAUAAUUAAAAAUAAUAAAUAAUUAAUAAAAAUGAUAAAAAAUUAUUAUUAAUGGUUUACAAGUAAAACCACCCACCAUAUUCAUUAAUUUAACUUGCAACUGCAUACCAUGUUUAAAAAAUCUACAUCAUUGAUUAGAUACAGAGCAAACUAACAGUGUCGAUUACUACCAUCGCUAACUCGUUUUGAGAAUCUAUACUGCGGAACGGAUUUAUUUUUUGCAAUAGGGUCCAAGAUCCCAACCUUCUUUUACCAGUCAAUAAUAUUUGUUUUAGGCAGAAAAUUAUUUUAUAAUUGAAAUUUGUUCUUAAUUAGAAGUAUUUUGCUAUGCUACCUUUUUUUGUGUAAUGUUAUUUAUAUAUUGUGUAUCAUCGUUUAUUAAUCAGUGAAAAUCAUUCAAAUUUAUUUUAUAUAUUACUUUUCAAAAUUUCUAGAGUAAUAAUUAACAAAGACUUAUUAAUUGACAUUAAAAAUCAGUUAUUUAAAACCACGAACACUUUUCACUUUCUAAAAUUAAUAUAUCUAAGAUAGUUUUUAUUUAAAGAAUUUGACGGUGACAAUAAUGAUACUUGAAUGUUAUUUAAUCGUGUUAUUUUAUAACAUAUUUUAUUUAAUAUAGUAUUAUUCAAAAGAUAAUUAUAUCAUAUAUUUUUAAUAAAUAUUAUAUUUAUCCCAUUUGAUAACAUAUAUAGUUCAUUAUAUUUUCUUCUUUCUUAACAAAAUAAUUAAGCAUAAAGUAUUUUCUCUUUUCAAAAGUAUCUUUUUAUAAUACAUAUUAUGAUUGUUUUGAAUAUAUAACUUUUUCUUUUUUUUAAUAAAAAUACUAUUAUUUAUAAAAUUUAAGAAAAAUUAAGAAUUUUGGGGUUGCCAUGACAUCUUUCCUAUCGAAGAGACUCUUUUACUAGCUGCCUUCCCUAGUUGUCAUUUGUUAUAACUAAUCAUAUUUUUCUUUACUAUUACGAAUAAUUUAACUCUUUUUUCUGGGUACUUUAGGGGUAUCAAAGUGAAGAAAUGAAUAUCUUUGCCAAAAUGGGCUUGCAUAUUUAGAUAUAAUAUUAUAUUGUCAAGUAUAUUUGUGCAUAUAUGUUAUAAAAUCCUACUGUCAAAAUUUGAUACCUGGGCCAACUCCAAUGCAUUACUUGUUACUUUUUGUUUUUGUAAAAGGGAAAAACAUGCUUACAUCAAUUCACGUGCAAAUGGACAAGCAAAUAGAUAACUUUGAUAUGCAAGUCAGAGCCUUUUGUUCAUGAAUGAUUGAGUUAAUCACAAUGGGGACAGACAAAACUAUUCCUAUAUACUUUCAAUAAUUCACUGCAUAUCAUAAAAUAAUAGAUUGCAAGCUCGUUUUUUCCUUUCAAAACCAACACUUUUAAUAAUUAAAAUGUUAACAAAAAUAUUUUUUUUUUCUAAAUCAAAUGAACAAACUUAAUCAGCUUAUACCGAAAAACUAAAUAGAACAUAUACAGAUAUUGCAUGGAACUGAUUUUAGAGGCAGUGUCAUUGUAGCAGCUGCCUCAGCCACUGCCUAGAGCAUUGCUGCACCAGUGUUGAUACUGCCCUUCAUAUACUGCACUUUUUUUUAUGGCAUUCUACGGCUCUGGUAAGGAUCAGAGACCACAACAUUCAUCAAGUAGCUUUACAACUUUCAUCUUCUCAAAUUUUCCAGAUAAUUAUGGGGAAUACGAUAGGAUCAAGAUCUUCCGGUGAUGGACUAGGGUAAAGGAAGUGUUCAACAGGUGGGGGGAGAAGAUUUGGGUUUUUGAGGCUCUUUGAUGUGGAAAACACAAGUACGCUGGAGAGGGAGCUGGACCAAGUUCGCGUAGGCAAUAUGAAACUCUAUGUCAAUAUUCCGCGUUAUAGAAGAGCAGAGUUGGAGCAACCGGUGAGUCACACAAAAUCUGCGGUGGAACAACCAUACCGUAAGUUCAAUGAAGCUAGGAAACGCUACAAACAAGAACCAAGGGAGAAAAACAACAAAGAGGUAUGAAGGGUUAAGAAAGGGAAGGAGAAGAAUGAAUGGAGAGUGAUCAAAGAAAAGCAAUCCUACGCGGGUGCAGUGAAAAAAUCUUCAAAAGGAGUAUGGAAGGUUCCUAUUAUUGAAACCAAGCAACAAGUCCUACCUUGGAUGUCUAAUAGUGCAAUGAGGCAUAUAUUAACAAAUUUAAGCUAUAAUCAGUUGUGUGAAGAAUUCAUCAUGGGGGGAUGAAUAUGGUUAAAGUGAGGUACUUGGGUGAUAAUCUGACUGUGUUAACUCCUAGAGAAGGGGAACAGAUGGAAGAUCUUAUCAUGUUUAACAAAGAAUGGUUUGAAAAUGUUUUUGAGGUUAUUGAGCCAUGGUGAGAUUCACACGUAGCAGGCCAUAAAAUUGUUUGGGUUAGAUGCUAUGGGCUCCCUAUAUCUCUGUGGAACAAAUAUUACUUCUCUAAAGUGGUAGGUGAGGUAGUUUCCUUAGUGUUUAUUGAUAAGGCAACAAAAUCAUGGGAUAACCUUGAGUAUGCAAGACUCCAACUGCGUCUCCUUAAGUCGUGCUCUAUCAGCUUAGCUAAGGGGAUGAAGAUCAAUGGCCAUGUAUAUAACAUUUGCAUUGAAGAGGAGCACCCUAAUUUUGUUGAAGGUAAAUGUAAGUGCACGUUUAAUCACUAUGCUUCAUUAGGUAGUAUAACGUUAUCAGAGUCCUUUGUGGAGGAAACCUAGUUUUCGGAAAAGAAUGUUGAUGAAGAUGUCAGGAAAGGGGGAGGGGAGUUGCGGUGGCCAGAGGACUCGAUGAGAGGUGGGAAUGUCAACAUCCCGCAUAAGACAAACUUGUUGUAUGUUGAGGAAUUGUGUGUGCAUGAUAAAAAUGGGCAGGAGAAAGGUGGUAGUUCUUACACAAAUAAGGUAAAGGGGAAGCAGACAAAAUGUGUAGGGGACUCAACUUUAUGUGUCCUAUAUGGUCAAUGUUGCAUGCAAAAGCAACUUUGUCCAAGUAGCCUUGACCAAUCUUCUUGUAGUUGUGGAGGCCUUUAACAGUAGCAAGUCCAAUAAGAAUGUGGCCCAAAGGCUGCGUAGAGGCCUAUUCGGGGAGAGGUGUAGAGGCCCAAUUUUGGGACGACGACCCAUGUUAUGUAGAGGGUGGGCACGUAGAAUCAAUGGUUGGUCUAGUACGUGAGGAGGGCGUAUGGGCCAUUGGGAGCGAAACCGUGACAACCACUUUGAACGACAGUGAGAAAGGGAGUUCGUUCGUGGAAGCUAGCGACGAUAGUGAGAAUGGAGAAAAUCUGUUCAUGGAAAACAGUAGUGCUAUAGAGAGGGGAGAAAAUAUGUUUGUGGAAACCAGUAGCGCUAUCGAGAAUGGAGAAACACAUUACACACCCAUCAAUAGUAGCGCGUGCUCCGCCCAGGUGGGCAACUCGCACAUAGAGGAAGGUCCCCGAACCAGUCUCAUUAACAAAGGCAUCAGGGACGAAGUAGGUAUUCAGAUUCAGAGCAUUGAUGACCACGAAAAACAAUCCUUAGUGUUCGAUGAUGAAGAAGAUGAUAAGGGGGAUAAUUUUGUUACCCCGCCACGACACCGACGUCAGAAGGGUUGUGGGAGUUGGGAGAAUCAAGCAGGAUGCCUCGGGGGAAGUCUAGAAUUGGAGCGGGAAGUCUUUAUGUAGGGAUUUUCUCAGAUUCAAGGGUUAGUACAAAUUCUAACACCUUAUCUGGCGACAAUAUUGUUAAUUGUAACAGUAGAUUUCAGAUUUUUGGAAAUAUUGAUGAACCUAUAUAUCAAUUUUUGGGAGGUAGGAAAACAGUUAGGGGUCUCAUGUUGUGGGUAUGAGGAUGAUGUGGUCAAGGAAAUAGAAAGAAGGGAAGCAAGAGAUUUGGAGGUUAUGAAAAAGUACGAGGAGAGAAAUAAGGGGAGUUUCUUAUGAUUAUUGUGAAUCUGAAUAUAAGAGGUCUUGGGGAGGGAGGGUACUAAGGCUAAAUAUAUGAAAAAUAUUAUAGCCAACGAGAGUGCGAAUGUGUUGUGCUUACAAGAAACAAAAACAGUUGCGUUCUCAGAAGCUAGGUGUUUUUUGCUAUUGAGGAUAAUAAUGUGGGAUGGUUACAUAAUGAAGGUAUAAGUGGUGAUGGGAGUUUGCUAAUUACGUGGCAUAAAGAAGCGUUUCGUUGUGAUAGUCAUGUGGAGGUAGGGGCUUCAUUUAUAUUUUUGGUAAGCAUAUCAUAUCUAAAAUAAAAUGUGUGGGGAUCAAUGUGUAUGCAACGUGCAAUCUGAAUGACAAAGUGACCUUAUGGGAGGAAUUGACAACCAUUAAAAAUGCAAAUAAGAACUUGGCAUGGUGUCUUUGUGGCGAUUUUAAUGCUGUAAGAUGUGAAAAUGAAAGGAAAGCUAAAAGUGAAAGGGGCAACCAAAACAAUGAGAUCACUGGCUUUAACCAUUUUAUCGAAAGGAAUUUCCUGGUGGAAUUGCCAAUUGUGGGUAAGAAGUAUACUUGGUACAAGGAAAAUGGUACAACAAAAAGCAGACUAGAUAAAGUGCUUUUGUCUGACGUUUGGUUACGGAAAUGGCCAAUGGACAAACAAUAUGUACAACCAAGAGAGGUGUUAGAUCACUGUGCCAUAGUGGUGAAAUGUUUGGCCAAAGAUUAGGGUCCUAGACCCUUCAGGACUAUUGAUUCUUAGCAGAUGGAGUAUGGAUUCAAGGAUAUGGUGAGAGAUAAGUGGAAUUCUUACUUUGUUCAAGGCUAAAGCAUAACGAAAUUCAAAGAUACAAGCUAAAAAGUAUUAAGGCAGACCUCAAAGAGUGGAAUAGAGAUGUGUUUGAGCAUCUGGACAUAGAGAAGAACAGAAUUAUGAAGGAAAUUGAGGUUUUAGAUAUCCAAGAUGACGUCUUCGACCUCGAAGGCCACGCAAGGUUGAAGAGAAUGGACCUUACAGGUCAAUUGAGAGUGAUCAAUAAAAAGAUGAAGUCUCUCUUUAGGCAGAAAGCUAGAACUAACUGGUUUGUGCAUGGAGACUCUAAUUCUAAAUUCUACCACUCCGUAAUUAGAUGGAGAAGACUUAGAAAUGAGGUAAAAGGUGUCCUUGUGGGGAUCAAUGGUGUGAGCAACCUGAGGUUGUUCGAAGGGAAGCAAAAACUAUGUUUGAGGAUAGAUUUGUGGCUACACAUGAUUUUGGGGUUUAGGGUUUAACAAAGACAAUCAAGAAAAAGGCACACAAAAAGAAUCUAAGAUACUUACUAAACUUUUAACAAUGAAACUUUCUUUAGAAAUUGUUAAAGCAAAAGGAUAAAAAUUCCACAAUGUUAAAAUCAAUUUGUCAAUCAAAAUGGACCCACUAUUUUGAAAUGUUGCUAUUUUGAAAAGGUUGGAACCAAUAGACUUGCACAACUUCUCUUAUUUUUUUUUUAUACUAUUAUGGAAAUGAAAUGUCCAUAGUUUUGAUCAUGCAUAUUUUCAUAGACCUCCAAAUAUCACAAAAAGUUUGGGAUUCAAAUUAAUUGAUGACUUGAAAUCUUUUGUUUGGAACUUAAAUCUACUUCUACUAAAACAAACUUCCAAUUACUUUUAAACUUUCACAAUUAAAAGCAAAGUAAGUAGAAUCAAAAUAUAAGGACUCUUAGAACACUAAAGAACAUAUGACUCAAGACAAAAGAGGCAAGAACAAUAAAAGACAUAAAGGAACAUUCAAAAUGAGAACAAAGCCAUUGAAUAACAAUAAUGCCAAAUUGAAAAAAAGGAAAGUAAAGGACUGAAAUUAUAUGUGCUUGAAUGUAAAGACAAGAAAUUAAAGGUGUUUGAAUGUAAAGAUAAGAAAUUAAAGGUGUAAGAAAAGUAAAGUGCCAAAUCAAUUCAAAGCAAAAUAAGCUCAAGAACCUAAGCUCUGAUAACCACAUGAUGUGAGUUGAUUUUUAGAUGGUUCCAUUUUAUGGUGACACUUUUGCUUAAAGUUGGGAUUUUAGCAAUUUAUGGUGAAACCUAAGGAAGAUUCCCACUGAACACGAACUUAACCAAAUAGUUAAGUAAGUGUGAAGGUUCACUUCACAAAGGCAAAGAUGAAAAAUCAAUAUAAAAUGAUGCAAUGUGGAAUGGAAAUGGCAAUAAGGUAAGUAUCAAUGGUGGUCAUGGCCGAACCAAAUGAUGAACCAUUAGCAUAUAACAAAAGCAAAACAAAGUGUAAGAGUCCAAGAUAAAGACAUAUAUGAAAUGGAAAUGAAUUGAAAAGAGUGGAAGAAGAGUAGCUUAUGGAGUGAAUGCGAGAGUGGUUCACGUCACUUGGGGUGUGGUAGCCACCAAGAUGAGUGAAGAGCCGCCACUUGAGAGUCUCACACUACUAAAGAUAAGACCUAAUGCUAAGAGGAAACAGGCUUCAGUAACACCUCACACAAAUUGUGCAGAGUAACUUUUCUAUUUAAAUUCAACAUUAAAAAACAAGGAGUAAGGCACCCUAUUUAUAGGAAUGGGUGCAUUGGUGGACAAGAAGGGCAAGGGUAGGGUGGUAAAUGUGUGAGGGGGUUGCCUUUAGGGUUUGACUAAUUCAAAACUGCACCCUAGUCUUGUUCUUCUAGAAACUAGGUCAAAUUUCCUUCCUAAAACACUAGAAACAAGCUAAAAUGAUAACUACACCCCCUAUUAUGCUAUAGGCACCUAUUCUAGCCUAUCUUGCUAUUUUGGACCCCAAAAUGAGCCCAAAUUACUUACAUAACUUUUCUCUUGUGGAAAGGCCAAAAGGAAGAACUUCUGAUAUUCUGGUUUAUAGCUUGUUCUUCUUCUGCUGAUGCUUUCUCGAGGUUUGGUGGACCCGACUUUGUAUACUGAGAUGAUUGACCUUUUUGUGAAUUGUUUGUUGUGUCCUUAGUCCUCUACUGAUUGUUGUGGUUUGUAUCACUAGACAAUGGUGGUUCAUUGUCCAACACUUUUUUUUAAUCAACAAUAAAAAUUUAAUAAAUAGGAGUACUCAGGGUACUCCAACCCAUGUACAAAAAUCCCCUAUGCUAGAGAAAUGAGGUUUCCAGAUAAAAAUGACCAAAACAUAGCCAUAUUCUACCCAUAUAAUUCUAAUAAGCUUAAACAUCUUUAAAAACAUCUAGAUAUCAAUACAUAAAUCAAGCUAUCUAUAAAAAAAUCCAGCAAUCCAAUUCCAGAAUAUAAGCAUGUCAACUCUAAAGAAAGACUUUGCCUCCUUGCUAUCUACUGCAGUUUCCCAAGCACCCAUUAUGACUAUAGUUGUAGCCCAAGGAAAUUCCUCUCAUGCAAACCGAGAAUCCAGCAAAAAAAGUAGAGAAAAUGUGUUAAUCAUCAAUGUAGUGAUUUUAAACUUUCAUAUACAUUAAUACACCAAUCAGAAUAAGAGAAAUUUGACUUUGGAAAUUUAUAACUUACCCAUGCCCACGCUUUUACUUGGACCAAAGCAAUUUUUUUAACAGGAUCCACCAUUGCAUUAUUGAAAAUUAUCCUAUUCCUAUGGUUCCAAAUUCCUCAAAUAAUGGAAAUCCACAUACAUUUCCAGACACAAUUUCCCAAGUAGUUUAAACCUGUAAAACCUAUUUGUUUGUUGAGUAACAUUAUCACAAUGUACAAAAGUUCUACCAGCCCAAGCAUCAGAGAUAUACCACACUUUAGAAGUCACUUUAUAUGUGAAAAAAAGAUGAUUUACUGUUUCAAGCUCAGACCACACAUGGCACACAUCCCCUCUCCAACCUUAAUUCCUCUAUGUAUUAAAUUAUCAUAUGUUGCAAUUUUACCAAUUAAAACACGUCAGGCAAAGUAAUGUGCUUAUGGAAGAGCUUUUAGGCUAAAAAAAGAAUCAAAAUUGAAUGCAGAGAAUGAAUGUGGCUGCAAAAUAUUUUGGUGGCAAAGAAUUUUAUAAGCUGAGUUAACAAUAAAAGAAUUUGAGGUAUCACCUACCCACAUCCACUCAUCAUUUUUACAAGCAUAUAUUUUAAUAGUCUUCAAUUCAUCCAUAAAUUCAUUUAUAAUUUCAGUUUCCCAUUAAAACUACUAUUUUCUCCAUUCUAUUUGCCAUACCCAUUGGUUUUCAUGUCAUACCCUACAGAACCUUCUUUAAGCACUGAGUUUUAAAAAAUUAUGGGAUUUCUAUUUUUCAGAGUAUCAUUUCCUAUCCAAUAAUCUGUCCAAAACAGAAUAUUACUCCCUGCACCGACCUUCCACCUUCUCUGGUUAUCAAACUAACAAUUUGAGUUUCCUCCACACACCUUCUUGAUAUCUCUCCACCACCAAGAUUUAGUAUUUGACACAACACUAUCAUCCAACCCUCUCCAAGAACCAUAUUAAGAUUACGGGUGGCAAAGCGGCCCGCCCGCCCCGCAUAGGCCCGCGGGCUGGCUUGCAUUUUUGUUUUGAAACAUGGAGGAGAAGUGGAGGCAGCAACGGUGCGGUAGCAGUGAUGUGCGGCAACAACAGUGUGCAGUAGCGCGACAGUUGCAGGCGAAGCCGCACGGAGUUGCAAGUGGAGCGAGCGAAGUCGCAGGUGGAGCGAGCGACGACACUGCAACAGAGAGUGCGUCGUGUACAUUUUUUGGAACAACAUAGUUGCGUUGUGUUUUGAGUGAAAACCUAAUUUUCUUUCACUCAAAGUUGCAUCUCUUCCACGGACCAUUGCUGCCAAGUCAAUUUUUUUUUUUUUUAGCGAGCUAGCAGGCCAGCCCGCCUUGCCCCACUGCUGGCCCAUCCCACUUUGCCACCCCUAAUUUAGAUUCCAAUACCGGUUUCCAAAGUCCUUAUUUUUCACAACCAAGUCCCCAUUAUCAUUUCCCAAGAAGAACAAUAUUAAACAAAUUUACAUCCUUAAUUCAUAGUCCUCCUUCCGAUUUGGAUUGACAUAGGAAGUCCCACUUGAUCCAGGCUAUCUUCCUUUUAUCACUUCCCCAUCCCCAUAAAAAAUCCCUUUGUAAUCUUGUGAUUAAUUUCGCAACUGCCAUAGACAUUUUGAACAGAGAUAAGUAAUAUAAAGCGACAGCUGAAACAUGACAGAUUUUAUCAAAAUAACUCUUCCAGCAAAAUAUAAAUGUUUUCCAUUCCAACUAGAAAGCUUAGUUUUAAUAUUUGAUUUCAUGUCUUUCCAAAACACUUUUUUUCCUAUUAUUAUCUCCCACAAGACAUUGUCCUGCACUUGAUAAUUCAAGUGACGUUAAUCUGCCGACGAGGGAGCAUUAGAGUUGGAAUCCAGCGGCUUGCUCUCUGUGCAAUUGGGGGUAUGGCAGCAAGCCUACUGUGGAGGGGUUGCAAGCCAAGUUUAGACUAUGGUAUCUUACAGUAUAGGAGAUUGGGAACAACCAUUUUUUCUAUCUUCUAUUGUCUAUUUAUAUCAAUACUACAAUCCCUCUUUAGGAAUUUGUUUGACUUGGCUCUAUGCAGGUUAAUUGCUAGGAAAUUUAGUGGCUGCUGGUGUUUUUUUUUAUGCAGAACCAUCUGUUUGCUAAGUUGUGUUAAGCUUUUCUAAGUCGUGGUAGAUUUGUUCCCGUAUGGCGUGGAAGAAUGUUUUUUGGUUUGACUAGGAGAAAACGUUUUGGUUAUCGUAUAAGAGUUUGAACACUAUAAAGUCUUCAUUAAAUUCAAUUAUUCUUUGUUAUAAAAAAAUUGGAAAAACUAAAUCUGUAUGGAAAAUCUCAUAUUCCACAUACUGAUAUAUAUAAUGAAUGUGCAGUCAUCAUAUUUUUGAAAAUUUAGAAUAUAUAUAUAUAUUUUAGAAUAUUUGAAAGAUGUUUUAAUUCAUAUAUAAAAUAUUAAAAAUUUAAAUAAAUCUUAUUUAAAAAAUUACGAGAAAAUAUAUAUAUUUAAAAUUUGUCCAACAUAACAUAUAAAAUAACUAUCAACACAACACUGCAUCCUAAAAGGCGGAAGCCUUAAAUUUUCAUUUCUCGCAAAAAUCUGUAUUUGCACCUGAAACAAAGCCCCACCCCACGACACUAACGCAUUAGUAACAUGUAUAUGAUCAUUUGAAAUGUUAUUGAUCGAAACUUAACAUUAUAAAAACAUUUGAUUUUGAUAACGUGUGGAAUAAGGAUUUGUUCGAAAUUGGAGUUUGGUUUGGUGUGAAAGAAUUAUCCGAAAAAAGAAAAAUGGAGAGGAAAGUGGUAGAGUAUAUAAAGACGAAAUGAGAUGAGUGGGUUUGAUAGUCACGGACGAGUGAUUCCCAUAUGAGGAGGCAAAUGACAUGAGGUGCGACAAAAGUGUCACAAUAUCUUUACUAAUAAUUACAAUAACGAACAUUUCAGAGACUAUACUGUCUCUGUUGGAUGCAGAGCACUGUGCCCAGCCAUCACACCUUUAUUCAUUUACUUAACGCCAUAAAGAUCUUUCACCAAAUGAAUAAUGACGUGAGACCUAACCCUAAUUGUGAGCAACCACGGCACUGCCCUACAGUGCAUGCUAACAUGCAAACAGUUCAGAGAGAGAAGAACUCCAUAAGAAUGUGAGUUUCAAAAGUGGUCAACAUGCUCAGGAAUAUUUCAAAAUGAUAGGCUAAAAAGGCUCAUCUUUAAGCAAAGGAAUGUCAACAAAAGCACAUCAAAAUGUGAACGGCGUUUAUCAAGUUUUGUAGUGCUGCUAAUGGAGUUAGUAACCAUUUUUUUUAAUUAAUAAUAUUGUUAAAUAAGUAUUUUCAUAUAUAUAUAUAUAUAUAUAUAUAUAAAAUUAUGAUAUAAGCACAUGUCUCUUUUUUAAAAAAAGAAAGUAGUUUGGUGUCUGAUAAAUAAUAAUUUAAAUGUAAAAAAUCGUAAUUAUAUUUUUGAUUUGUAUGCUGUCAUGCACGUUUAUACUAGUCUUGGUAUCUUAUGUGAUGGUCUUUUAAUAAGAUUUUUCUUGAAAAGUAAGGAAUUAGGUGUAUGAAAUACAAAAUUGGUACUGCUUUAUUUUUAAGUUUUGUGUAGCUGUAGUGGGUAUGGUAUAUGUUAAUUAUAGCUAGAAAACAAUGGUGAAAUUGAAAGGAAACCAGGGUUUGUCGUUUCCAUUGGAAUAUAUCGAAUACGUGAAGAUGCUGAGCAAGAGAGUCAGCAUCCUCGUCUGUUGAGCAUUGUGCACAACCUGGCUGGCUUUACCGUAUUUACUUUUCUAUCUCAAACUAAACUUUAUCAUGAAAUUCAAUGAAACAGUAAAUUUAUUCAGAUGUCUAUCACUGUCAAAGUGAGAGAGUACUGAAGAGAAAGGGAUCGAUGUACUCAAGAAAAACAUAAGAGUUGCAAUUUAUAGAAUCGAAAUCAUAGUUAAUAGACCAAUUAGACUUCUUUUCAUAACAAAAUAACCUUAAAGCAGUUUUAAAUAAGUUCAUACAUACGUAACAAGCUAUUUCUUUAAUGUUUUUUCAUUGUGCCUAAUCUUUUCCUUAUUACAACGUUGACUUUCCAAAAUGAUGAUUUGGCUAUGCUGCUGCCUUCAGGUCAGGGUCCAAAGAACUCAGUACCCAUGACACGUUGUUGUUGUUGUAGUUGUUCUCUCUGUGAAAAUCCACCAUUCAUAUUUCUAACCAUUCCUCCAACACCCAAAAAGUCUAAGGUCAACUUAUCAGAACCUCCAAAGUUUACAUUAUUAAGAUUCUGGGGCAACUUAUGGUUGGACUCGUCGACGUUGUGAAACCCAGAAAGGUUGUUUUCAUUCCCUUGCAUGUUCCUAAACAAGGACGUGUUUCCAUUAGCAAUAGAGUUCAUCAACCCUUGAAGAUUGUGGUGGUGGUGGUGACCAUUUUCAGCUUUGGAACCAUUGCUAGACAUUCCUCUAAGUAAAGAAGAACCGCUGGUGGUUGUGGUUGAACCCAUUUGAGAGGCUUUUUGAAGCAACACAGUGGCAGACAUAUGAGGGGAUGAUACGUUUUCUAUUGAAUCACCAAAGAGCGAAGAAAAACUUGAACCCACAUGAUCACUUACUGCAGGGUUGUUAUUAACAAAGAGUGGUGGUGGUGUUGUUCCUUGGUCACUACCACUUAUGUUGUUGAAUUGAUCAGGGAUAAUGGUGCUAGUGCUAUUGCUACUUGGGAAGAAGCUGAGGUUGAAGAGAUUGGAAUUAGGAGCAGCAACUGAUGAAGAAUUGGAGUUGUUAGUGUUGCCAUCAAGAGCAGUGAGCUGCAUUAGGCCAUGUAGUUGCUUGUUUGAGAAUAGUUGUCCUUGUUGUGAUUGGUGUUCUUCAAAUAAUGUUUGAUUGGUGUUGUUAUUCAUGAAGAAAGCUGAGGAAGGCAUUGAUUGUGGUGAGUGUCCAAAUGAAGACUGAUUUAGAGGUGGAAUCAAGUGCUCAAACUUAAGAGCUGCACCAAUGUUAGUGACUGUUUGGUUCUGAUUUUGAACUUGGGAAAGUUGGGUACCCACUUGGGAUAGGGUUAAACUAGUGUGGUUUGUGCCAAACAAAUGAGUUCCCAAAGGAUUUGAGCUACUGGGGUAUCUUGCACUCUCAUGUGCUAAUGCAUCACAGAACGCCCUAUGAGUGAUGAAACUGUCACGCCUGCAUCAAAAAUAUAAUAAAAGGUAUACAUAAAUUGACCACAUCUUCCAUUAUAGAAACUGACAAAGGUGAAUUUAUUACGUCGAGUAUUAAGUAAGACUUAAAAUUAUAUUAUUAGUAUGCUCCAGUAAGAAUACAAUAUAAUAAUCAAAAUGUUCCUAAUCAGCUCAAUAACAACUAUUAUGCCACCACAUCAACACAUAAAAUUCUUGAACCAAACCAUAUAUUAAUUUUAAUAACGUAUAUAGGUAACCUAACACCGUCCAACCUAAAGAAUUUUGGAACUGUAGAAGUUCAAGAUAUAUAUAUAUAUAUAUAUAUAUAUAUCAAUUAUUUAACCAACCAAUUCCAAAGGUAUAGUCAAAUAUAAAAUAAAAAAUAAAAUAGGAAAUGUUUUUUUCUUUGUAAUUGGAACUGCAAUUUUGAAAAUAAAACUCUAAUGGAAACAGAGGGCCCAGGGGAUCAUUAUACCAAAAGAUGAUACACACAAGAAAUCCAAAUCUAACUGCCACUUUAAGGUCUCUCAUUAAUCAAUAAAAGAGAAUUAUUUUCAGCUUCUGAUGAAAGUCAAUUAUCAUAAGACCAAAGAUGGGGCCAGUUCAAUAAAUGCAAACAACCUCAAUACUUGUCUAUUUUCUACGACGAGAAUUCAUUUCAAAGCAAUGGUAGAAUACAAAAAUUGCUGAUAUAGAAGUGGCGAAUUAAUGGUGAGAAUUUGUUUAGCAAUGAAUAAAGAAAUAAUGGGAAGUGGUGACAAUUAUGCAGCUCGGACCCAUUGCAAGAAGAUAAGUGUAUUUAUAUAUGAACCGAGCCAAGCCGAAAGAGAACAAAAGCCAGCAUCUCCAACUCAUGUGAGAACAAACCCAGUAUCACUAUGCCUGUUGCCUUUGCAGAGUUGCUUAACUGCACGUGAAUGGGAAUAAGGGUGGGGGCACAGUUCCCGAGGACCAAAGUUGAACUUGCUUGUUUUUCUUCCCAAAGCAUGUCAAUUUUGGUACCCCAUUUCAACAGUCUACUCACGUGCGAGCAGUCUCCUGCCAUGCCUCCACUAACACCCAAGGAAAUGAAUGGAGAAAGCUCUAGUUCACAUUUAACUUCUGUUUCGACUAUUUACUCAAUUUUUUCAAACUAGCGACACCUUCUUAGGUUGCGUUUAGAAAUGCUUAUAAUAAAAAUGCAUCAAGCUUAAAAGCUUUUACUAGUGUGAAAAAUUCAAAACCCACCAAAGAGUAUGAGAAACCCUAAUUUUUCAUAAACUGGAUGGUGUGUGUGUAUUAUAUACACAUUUGAAGAAUGUAUAAAGUGCAGUGGAAACUAAGAUAAAAUGGGUUGUUACCUAGAGAAGAGAGUGCCACAGUCACAUCUGUACUCUCUAGUGCCACAAGUCUUUGAAUGUGCUUUCCAAUCAGAUUGAACAGCAUAUUUCUUUGAGCACUUUUCACACUUCCACUUCUUCUCACCAUGCUUGCGAGAGUAGUGCUUCUUGAUUCCAGUGAGGUCUCCCAAAGCCCUUGAAGGAUCAUGAUGGACGCAGGUGGGCUCGGGACAAAGAUAAACCUUUCUUUUUUGCUCUUUUGUACUCUUCUGCUUUAGCUUCCAAGGAAGGUUGUGUCCUCUUCUGUGAAGCUGUAGGUUUUGCUCCCUUUGAAAUCCUUUAUUGCACACCUCACAUAUAAACCUGUUUGUUGCCAUUAGGGUCUUGGGAGAUAGUUUUAUCACCUCCGCGUCUGGAUCUUUUACCCCCACAAAAAUGACAAACAACAAAUUAUUAAAAAACUCUCAUGCUUCAAUCACUUGCUCAAAUUGAAUACGCACAAGAAACAGAAGAAUAAUCUUUCUUUUUUGACCUUGUUUUAGAACCACGUAGGAAUUUCAAUAGUAAUGAUAAAAAAAAAAAUACAAAUUUACGAAGAUUAUUAAAAAAUUUAAACCAGAAGUUUCAUGCUUUUGAGAUUCUUAGAGAAAAGCAAUCCAACCAUGAACUGAAUGUCUCUACAGUAAAUUAAAGAAGUCAAUAGCCCUAAAUCACGAAUAGGGUUUCGUCGUGUUUGUUAUUGAGAAAAUGAAAGAAGUGAAACAAAAUUGCAAAGGAUGUGUAUAUGUGUGUGGUUUAAGCAAUCAAAUUUAACUAAGCUACUUGCUUGGGGUUCCAGGUUGAUUCCUCCGUUUCUUUUGAGGAACUGUGAUUGGAGCAACUGUGGAGGGUUGAUGGUGUGUUGUAAUCUGAGGGCUUUCUUCUCUGGUUCCCGAGAAUGGAGUGGAUGAGGAAGCUGCCGCCAUAACUGUUGUGCAAAUCUGGAACUAAUAUCUGAACCAAAAGUAAACACCUAUCAAAUAUCCGAAUAUCCUUCUGCUGAAAGGAAAAAAAAAACCUCAAUUGCAUGUUUUCUUGUCCCUUGGAAAGAAUAAACAAAAAGAAAGGGAAAAAGAAACUACAACAGAAUGAAGAAAAAAAAAAAGACCUGAAGUAUGUUUGAUUUUUUCCCUGCUUUCUUUGUCUGUCAGGAAAAAAGAAAAAAAAUAGAAACUGAGAGAUUAAAUCACAAAAGAUACCGAGAGGAAAGUAUCUUAGGAGACAGAAGCAAACAGGAGACGAAGAGAAGAAAACAAUUCACUCUGAAUACCUACUUAUCUUCUGGCUAUUGUUUUCUUAUCAUAAAAUUUAGCUACUACUACUCCCUCUUGUUAUUUCUCAAUCAUUUGGUGUCAUCUAGACAGAAGAAUAAUAAUAAUAGUUAAUAACAUGCUAGCUUGUCCUCCAAAAGGCAUAUAUAAAUCAACUCAUAUGUAUCUCUUUUGAUCUCUGUGUCUCUUCUUUUCCCCUCUUCUCCUCAUGGUUGUGCAUUUUGUAAGGAGGAAUAAUUAAGGGUGGUAAAGUUGCCAGCGAAGUGAGGGAGGUAAUUUAUGUCACUGUUAUACUGCUCCUGCACGGGCUACUGUGUCCUUAGCAGAUGAUGGUCUGGGGCCACCGACCCUUUUAGCUCUCACACUCACCUUAUCUCUCCUUCUCUUCUUUCCUAUCUUUUUACCAACAACCAUACAACUUUCCUCAUUUUUUACCCAACAACUAAUUGGUUUAUGCAUUAUUAUAACUAUUGUUAAUUAUUACCAUGUCUACAAUACUUUCUUUAGCAUGGUUUUUAUCAGAUACAACUUUCCACUGUUAUUCGAUUAUAUAUGGUUACUAUAAACUGACAUAAAAGUUCUAGGAUUAGUUGGUAAAAAAUAUUUUCAAUCAAAAUCUUGUGGUAAUUUACGGACAAAGUACUUCGAACUCUUACACCUAAUCGUGAUAACUCAGUAGACAGAGAGCUUGCUGGUAGAUGAUGACAAUAUUUGGGUUUAUCUCCUAUUUUAUAAUAAUUGUAAUGGUAGUUUGAACUGUUUGCUUGAAGAUAUUUGCUUGGAAAAAUGUUAUCAGUUUGUAACCACCUUGGUAAACAGGGAUAAACAGGGAUUUUUGAAAUGAUGUUUGCAUUGACAAUGCUAGUUUGAAACAUUCUUUACCAUGCUUGUACCAAGUCUAUGUUGAAAUAGCUGCUUCGCGUGUAGAUGAAAGGGGAGUAUGGUAUGAUAAGAUUUGGUUCUGGAGAUCAAUUUGUCGGUCAAAAUCUAAUGCUAUAUCAGAAAAGCCAAGGCAAAUUUGUACGUAACACCGAAGUGAAAGCUACAAAGAUCAAACCAAAAUAUUUGCAUCUCUGCACUUAUUGGAAGAUGCUAAAGUUGCGUCCACAAAAAAAAUCUACGAACCCUUUGAAGCUCAAUUUUAUAAAAUGUGGUCGACACUACCUCUACAAUAUCACAAGGACGAGAAAGUUAGGAGGGUUGAGGGGAAAGUAUAAAAUUUUGAGUUCAUUUAAUAAAUAUAUAACAUUACUUUUUAUGUUAAAUAUUCAUAAUUGUGUGUUUUUUUAAAUGAUAAAAAAUAAUAUAAAAAAUAGGAUUGUAUGAUAAUUAUUAUCUAUAGAGUAAUUUAAAUAUAAUUAUUUUAGAUCUCUUUUUUAAUUUUAGUUGUGUUAAUUUAAUUUACUUUUGAAUAAAAUUGUUCUUUAUGUUUAAAUUUAGUUUUAAUUUCAUGUUAUAUACUUUAUCUUUGUUUUUUUUAGUUCUGAAGGAUAAAAGUUGUAAGAAGACGUUAUCGUGAACAUUAAAAUAGAGAAAAUGAAGUUUCCUAUUUAGAUUUACGCGAUAAAAAUUUACAAGAAGAAUUUGUAUAUAUGCACUUUAAGCCACCCAUUUUGUAGGCAUUUUAAGCCAAACUUGAGAGGAAAGUAGUGCUUAAAUAGUUUAUUUUGGACAGCCUAAGAAGUUCCAUCUGAAGUCCACUAUGGCAGAGGUUGAGUGUCUAUAAAAGACAAAAAAAAAAAUAGAACCUUAUUUUCAUACAAUUAUACACUUUGAGACAUACUUGGAGACACGGAAAAAUUCUUCUCCUUUUGAAGGAUUAUUUCUCUAUAAUUGAUAAGAAGUAGCUAAGUUUUCUUUCUUUCGUAGAAGCUUAAUACACUUGAAUCUACAUGUAAUUGUUAUGUUUUUUUUUUUAUUUAUGUAGUAGCUAUUAUUUUUUUUAAUGUUCAGUUAUAACUGAUAAAUUGGAGUAAUGGUAUGAUUUUAUAAUUUUUAUUAUAAUUCAAAAUAAGUCAAAGAUUGGUAGUAGAAUCAAUUAUAUAAUCAUUAAAUAAAAACUAAUUUUAUAGUAAAAAAAUAAUUAGUUACUAUAUUGACUAUAUUAAAUAUUAUUUUAGAUAUUAAAAAAAUUAUUAGUAUCUAAAAUAAUUUCUAUUAUUAAUAAAAUUUAAAACUAGUUUCAAAUUGAUAUAUUUUCCGACCUCAAGUCUAUUAAGAUAAUAUCACUAGGAUCAAUCACCACAUCUGAGAUAUUUGGAGCUCGAAGUUCCAUUACAUUUUUUUUUUCUUAAAAGGCCUCUAAGAAGUUUAAAGCACUAGUGCAAAUAAUGCUUUUUACAACAACAUAUUUGGUUGGUUAAGAAAGAACCGGUGUAAAGAAAAAUACGGUGACAUUUUUGUAAAUAUUGUGCAUAUAUUACAUUGGUUGUUACUCCUAAUCGGUGUAAUAUGUGUUGAUUUUGAGUAAUUUUUUUUAAAAAAAUUACAUUUUUACAGUGAUAUAUUAAAUCGGUUGUUAGGUCCAAGCGGUUAAUAUGUAUUGAUUUUGAGUGUAAAAAAAUUAUUUAAAAAUUACAUUUUUCUAGUGACGUAUUACAUUGGUUGUGAGGUCCAACCGAUGUAAUAUGUAUUGAUUUCGAGUGUAAAAAAAUGUUUAAAAAACUACAUUUUUUGGGAUGAUAUAUUACAUCGGUUGGGAGAUCCAAUCGAUGUAAUAUGUAUUGAUUUGUCUUUUAAAUGUAUAAAUUUUAAAAGGUAAGUGAUGUUAGGGGCAUUUAUUACAUCGAUUAUUACUAAGAAUUGAUGUAAUAUAUGCAUUCACCUUGUUUUUUUUUUUUCUUGUGCACUCACUGCUCAUUUUGCAUUUGAAGUUUGUUUGCUGAGUGUAAGACGUCUGAGCCACUGCCACCAUUGCCUUUGUUACCACUAUUUUUGUUGCCAUCGCUCACGCUCCCUUUGUUGUCACUACCAUCGCUUCUCGUUGUCGCCACUGUUUGUUGUGCCCUUGUUCACUGCCACCGAGAGUUGUGUUUCAUUGUCGCCAUUGUUCGCGCUAAUGUCGUCAUUCGCUGCUACCAUCAUUCAUCUAGCCACCAUUGAAAACUUCUGGUCCUGCCACGUUAAGGUAAGUUUUAAAUAUUUUUAUUAUAAUUUAUUAUUUUAUUUAGAAAUAAAAUUUUAAUUUAUAUAGAAAAUUAGUUUUAAUAUAAUAUAUUAUGUUUGGAAUAUAAUGUAUAUUUUUUUAAAAAAAAUUAAUUUGUUGUUGUUAAUUGUUAUAUGUUGAACGCUUUGAUAUUAGGUUUGGCGGUGUUCGACCCUCGACAAUGUGUACUGUGUUUUAUAAUACAUCGACUAAAAAGUGGGAGAGAUUGAUGGAUAAACCAAGUGCUUUUAUUACAUAGUAAUGGAUUGAAGUUGGAUAAGUGAUUCUACACUUUUCUCAAUGAAAUGUAGAAGCUAUAAAUGGAAGAUAUUAUUAUCCAUGUGUUAAUUGUUUGAAUGGGAGACUAUAAGAAAUUAAGUUGAUACGAGAACAUGUUGUGAUGGUUUCUUGAAGAGUUAUAUAACGUGGAUAUGACAUAGUGAAUUUGUAGACAUAACACCUCUAUUUAAAUUUCAAUAUUCUAAUAUACACUUUGAAGAUUGCAUGGAGGACAUGAUUCAUGAUAUUUGAGAAGAUAGUUUCCGACAAGCACAUAUGUGUGAUUCAUUGAAAGAUGAUUCAAAACCAUCUCUAUAUCUUGGUUGUUCAAGUUUCACAUGUUUGUCUUAUUAAAAUUAAUUAAUAUUAAGGCAAAAAAUAGGAAGAUCGAUAAAAGCUUCACUAAAUUAUUGGAGUUGUUGCAUGAAAUGCUUCCAAAAGGUAAUACAUUGUCGACCCUUCAUAUGAGGUGAAGAAGAUAUUGGGUCUGAUGGGUACGGAGUACUAGAAAAUACAUGCAUGUCCUAAUGAUUGUAUUUUGUAUAGAAAAAAAGGUUUGAAUCAUUGUAUAGGUGUCCAAGAUGCAGGAUAUCAUGAUACAAAGUGAAAAAUGAUGACAGUGAGGAAGAUGAUGUGAAAAAGGGUCCUCCUAAGAAAGUAUUAUGAUAUCUUCCAAUCAUACCGCGAUUUAAACGUUUGUUUCCCAAUAUUAAUGAUGCAAAAAAUGUCACAUGGCAUGCAAAUGGAAAAAAAAUGUUAGGUUGUUACGACAUGUUGUCGAUUCACCACAAUGUUAAUAAAAUCAAGAGUAGAAUGGAAAUAUGUAAAAUGAGAUUUUUGUUGUUGGCGGGUAGAGUAUGCUUACUAAAGUCUAUCAUUUCCUCUUGACCCCAAUACUACAUAUCUUUUUAUAAAAUUCCAGCUAUUAUAAGACAUCAAAUUAGAACUAUCCAGAGGAAUUUUUUAUAGAGGAGGUGAAACAAAGGAAGAAAUAUAUCAUGGUUAAAAUGGGUGGACAUAUGUAAACCAAAGGAAGAGGGAGGCUUGGAACUUAAAGAUGUCAAAUUGUUUAAUGUAACAUUGUUGUCUAAGUGAAAAUGGAGGUUAGGGUAACCACAAAGGACUGUGGAAGAAUAUUUUAGAAUUUAAGUAUGGCUUUUGAGGAACUUGAAUGUUAAUGGAAACGUCACUUACGAGUUAUGGCGGUGGAGGGACCUAAGAGGGGUUUGUGGGAAGGCAUAAAAGGGGAAUGGUUUGUGAUAAAUGCUAGAUUUCAGUAAUACUUUAUAUUAAAAUACAUGCACUUGUGGAUAUUAAUUGAUAAAAUAACCACAAUAUAACCCCUAAUUCAUGAACUAAAACCUUUUUACAUAUUUUCUAAUUAUAAUUUGAAUAAGAACGAUUUAUUCCCAAAUUUGUGUUAAUUUCAGGAUUUUAGGAAAGAAUGAAGAUGAAAGGGUAAAAGGAUAAUAUACAAAGCUAAAAAGGGAAAGUUGGAAUGCACCAACACUUACCCUAGAGGAGACAGCUGUCAAGGAGAAACAUCCUGAAUCUUCUUUUCAUGCUUUCCAUGCUUGUAAUAGCCAACAUGAGUGGCUAAUUCUACCAUUUGGGAAUGAGAGUAAUCUGUUCAAACUCUUAUGUAUUGAGGUGAUAUUUAAAUAUAAUAUUUUUUCUUGAUUGAUGAUUGCUAUUGUCAUUUUAUUUGUAAUGCUUGUUUACCAUUAUCAAGAUCCUUAGAUUUAACUGGAAAGUACUUCUAAGUUUCUAACCUAAAUGAUAAUGUUAGGAAUAGAUUUGAAAUGUUAAUUGCUAUCAACAUCUAAUCGUAAUGAUAAGAAGUUUUUAUAAAUAUGCGAGAAAUCAAUAUUUAGGAGACUUUCUUAAUAAUUUUAUGUGAGUAAUCGAUAUAAAUUACUUUUAUAUGGACAUCAACAUCAAUCAAAAGAUAAAAUAUUACUAUGCUAAUCAAAAUACAAAAGAGUAAGAAAGACGAACCUCAAUCCCAAUAUUCCCAAUUGAACUAACAAUCUCUUUGACUUCUUUCUUUUUAAUUAUUGCAAUCACAACAAACUCCCAAAAAACUUUAUUAUUUUGUUUUCUAUUUAGUGAAUCUUAUACUUGAUUAUUCAAUGUUCCUUGUGGGUUUGAUAUCCUUCCUUAAGGAUCCUCAUGAUAUCCUUCCUUAAGGAUCCUCAUGAUAUCCUUCCUUAAGGAUCCUCAUGAUAUUCUUCCUUAGCAAUUACAACAUGGUGUACUUUUCGUAAAAUAGUCAUGAAGUUUUUGGCACCAUUAUUGGAAAACAAUUGAUUUUUUAGUAUAAAUUCCUAAAUAUUAUGAAUAUUUUAAUUGCUUUUAACUUUUGUUUUAUUUCAUUUUAAUUGCAGAUUUGUGUUAUUUUAUUUCAGAUUUAUUUUAUUUUACUUUAUUUGUUUUCAAUUUUAAAUUUUUUUAAAAAAAUUACUGUUAGUGAAUCCUUGUGUUAACCCUUGAUUUAGUUGUCUUAUAUGAUAUUAAAAGGUCAAAUUCCCAAAGACCAAAUAUUAUUUGAAUCAAAGAUUGAAAAGGCAGCUAAAAGAAACAAAAAGACAAAGACAAAAGAAAGACAAGGAGACGCUAGAGAGGAAUCCUCAACCACUUCUUCCCUUCCCAUUAAUAUUUUUCAGGAGGAGAAUAAUAUGGCAUAAGAGCAGACACCACCUCCUAGGAGAACCCUUGGAGAUUAUGCCAUGGAGCAAGGGCCAAGGCAUUUUUCUAGUAUUGCAAUACCUGCUACCUCUAGGGUCUUGGAGAUGAAACCCGUUUUCCUUAGUCUUAUCAGUACCCAUCCGUUUACAACAAUGGAUCAUGAGGAUCCAUAUACACAUUUGUCUACAUUUUAUGAACUGGUGGGAAAAAUGGGCUUCCAAUCAGGUGAUCUAGAAAAUGUUUAUAUGCGUUUAUUUUCUUUUUCAUUAGCAGAAAAGGCAAAAUAAUGGCUCAAAUCACAUCCAAAUCAAAGUCUCAAUAGUUGGGAGGAUGUAGAGGAAAAAUUUCUACAAAUGUUUUUUCCAUUAUCUUGCUACAUCAAAGCAAAGUCUGAAAUAUCUAUGUUCAGACAAGGAGCAGAUAAAGCAUUUUGUGAGACAUGGGAAAGAUUUAAAAUGACGCUGAGAAAAUGUCCAAAUAAUGGGUUUGAAGACAUUGCUCAAUUGAGCAUUUUUCACAAUGGUCUCAUAUAUGAUAACAAGAUGCUUCUAAAUGUUGUAGUUGGUGGUACAAUGAUGGCAAUUGAUGCAAAAGAAGCAACAAAGAUUAUUGAGGCAAUGACAUCCACAAAUUAUCAAGCCCAAAAUGAUAGUAAAAAUGAGCCAAAGAAGGGGAUGAUGGAUCAUAAUUCUUCAAACACAUUUUUGGCUGAAAACUAAAUUCAAACACAAUAGUUGGAAGCAUUAACUGCACAAAUGGCUAAAUUGCCACAACAAUUACAAGUUGUGCAAGCUUAUUAGAGUCAGAGUCAAUCAAUAAAGUGUGAUUUUUGUAGAGGUGAUCAUUCCAAUGGGCAUUGUACUUAUCAGAAUAAUUCAUCUGAAGAAGAAGCUCAUUAUAUGGAAAUAAAGGAGGUAAGGUGGGUUCUCCAACAAAAAUACUCAAGGUUGGAGAAGCAAGCAAAAUCAAAGUUUUAAGCAACAACAACAACCAUUAUAUCCUUCAUCCCAAGAGAGAGAAAAGCAAACUGGAGGAUACCUUGGAGAAACUGCCCAAUAAAGGAGCUUUGACAUUGUUGUUCAAAGUUUGAAGACACAAAUGGGACAAAUUGCACAACAGUUGAAGAAAUCCAAGGAGCAAUGUAAGUCAGUCACUACUAGAAGUGGAAUAGUUAUAGGAAAGGGGAUUGGUGAUAAUUUGAUUGUUGAAAUAAAGGAAAUAAUGGAAUUAGUGGCUCGUUUUUAUGUUGGAUGUUCAAACUUGUUGUAGGAUCACACCUCUCAAGUUGUUUUGCUAAGGGGAUAAAGGGAUUUUUAGGGCUAAAUAUGUUUACAGAGAGAGGAUCUCUUGGUUCAAUAUUGUAAAGAAUUCCCGCUACAUCAAAUAUUGGAGACAAGAUUUGUUGAUCCAUUGUAAGGAAUUUUUGUUACCUCAAACUUUGGAGACAACAUUUGGGUUGAUUGAUUAUUUGUAUAAAUAUAUAAGGACAAACUAGCUAACAUAAGGAAUAGUCAUAUGUUAUUUAUUUGUAUAUAAGGUUGAAGCAUUCCUAUGUACUCAUUCUUUGUAUAUAGAUUUUCUUUAUUGAUAAAAAAGUACUGAAUUGUACUUAUUCUUUUUAAAAUACCACUAGCAUACUAUAAAAUAAAAUUUUUUUAAAAGUAAAUGAUACUUAAAUAUUUCAUCUAAUAGAAAAAACUAUUAUUAUCUCUAAAAAAAGACUUUAAAAAAAAUAUCCAUAGCUAAUUUCUUUUAUAAAAUUUAUAAGAAAUAACUUCUCCAAAUAUUUUGUUUUUAAAUUUUGUAAAGUUUCACAAAAUAUUUAUAGAACAAGUUGCACAACAUAUAAAAAUAAUAAUAAAUUUAUAAAAAAACAACAUUUAAGUAUUUUAUCUUUAUAUAUAAAUAUCAAAUAAAAAUAAUUACUUAUAAUGUAUAUUAAUUCAUUAGAAAAAAAGUAAACCCCCAUAUUAGCAUAUACAUCUAUUCUAACAUUAUCAUAACACCUUCACUACAUGAAAAAAUGGUUUUAACGGGAGUUUAUUUUUACAUUAUUAAAGGUUAAAACCUCUCUUAAGUCAUUUACUCAGGGCAGUUUCUCCUGCUAAAUCAUCUUUGAGAAAUGUGUUUCCUGGGGUUUUUUUAAACAUUUGGAAAAAUCUUUCAAAAUCCCCGUUAAAUAUCAUGGGCUUAAGAACCUCCGUAAAAUUUCAUAACCUCCGUAAAAUACUAUGCGUUUUAGGACCUCCGUAAAAUACCACGAGUUUCAAAACCUCUGUAAAAUAUCAUAGGUUUUAGAACCGCUGCAAAAUACCAUAGUUUUCAAAACCUCCAUAAAUUUUAGAACCUCUGUAAAAUAACAUAGGCUUCAGAAUCUCCGUAAAAUAUCAUUUGUUUUAAAAUCUCUGUAAAAUAUCAUAGGUUUCAGAAUCUUCAUAAAAUACCAUAGGUUUCAGAACUCCGUAAAAUACCAUAGACUUCAGAACCUUCGUAAAAUACCAUAGGUUUCAGAACCUUCGUAAAAUAUCAUAUUUAGAUGUUGUUCUCUAAUUAAAUUAAAAAUUUAUUUUUAAAAAAAUAUAUUUAAAAAAAUGCAAAUUAAAAAAAAUAAAAAAUGUAAAAAAGAACUAAAUGAAAAAAAAAAUACUUCUUAAAAUGAAAGAUAAGUGAAAGAGGAGCAAGUCCAAUAUAGAAAGAUUCAAGCCUAGAAAGCGGGUAGGGAUAGAAAUGAUAUGGAAAUAGGUGAUGUUUACAAGGAAAAAGAAGAAGCAAAAAGCACCUAUGAUUGAAUCAAAUUUUCAAAUCUUCAAUGUUUAUCAUGCAUUGCAGCAGUAACUCACCUCCCAUCCUGGUUGAGGGCUAAGAAUUGGUGUUGCCAUGAAACUUGCCUUACCCUUUAUAUAAGUUUCUCUCCAUAUUAGCAAAAAGAUUAUAAAAGAAAGAAAAACAAGCAAUCAGAAUUGACAUGCCAAUAUGUUUCUUAAAUAGCAAAAGAUAUAAACUUUUUCAUCCAAACCUGACUUUUAAGAAAAACUAGUGCAACUGUAUUCCUUAAAAAAAAAUAUGAAAAUGGAUAAAUAGAUUUUGAAUAGACAACUGUACCUAAAUGAUUAUUUUAUUUUUUAUGAAAAAAAUUGUCACUACAUCUUUGAUGGUUUCGAAGUCCUAGUUUGUUAAACGAUUUCAGUUUUUAGGACUUUACUUUUUUUUAAGUAAAGUUUCCAUGUAAGUGAGUUUUCUUUUAUGAUUUAUUAAUUUAGGUUUUUCAAUUUAAAUUUUAUAAUAAUAAAGUUGUGUCUUGUUAUAUUUUAAAAAAUAAUAUUUAAGUGCUUAUAUUUUAAAGAUAUAGUUAAGUUUGUUUUAGAUGAUAUAGUCUUUCAAUAAAAAAAUUUCAAUUAGGUAAAAUUGGGUUUCAUUCAUUGAAAAAUGAAAUAAAAGUUGAAAUUAAUUAUGAUAAAUUUGUAGAAAUUUUUAUUUAAUAUAGACAAACUAAUUUUUAAAACGAAAGGAUAUAUUGUUCUAAGAAUCCAUUUUCUAGUUUGUCUUGUGAACUUUUUUUGUAGUUCUUAUAUUUGAUAGUUUCCUGAAAGGCUGAAGCAAAUGUUGAAAUCUCUCUUUCCCUAUUAUCACCAUAUCCAUAAUAGUAAUUGGCAUUGUAUGUAUGCAUGACUCAACAUUUAUCUAUUGGGGGAAGAUAUCACACAUGAUGAUGAUGGGUAUAUGUGAAUUGACAUUGGAAUGAAAAUGAAAGAUGAAGGGUCACCUGUGUGGACCAUGUUGUGUGUGGCUUUGGUUUGGAUAGAAGCUUAAAAUUGAGACACAUGAUGUGGGGUAAGUACCUAGAUAAGGACCAUAUGUCUUAAGAGAGAAAAUAGAUGAACAAUUAUAAAUCUUUUGGGAAUUUGGCUUUACCUACAUUUCAAGUACUUUGUUUCCAUUACUUGGACUCAAAGUUAUUCUUUCACGCUCUUUAGUAAAUAAGGUACACUUAAGUGGAACAAAUUAAUAGAAAAUGAUAUGUUAAAAAAUAAACUUUAAUGCAUGUAUAGUAUAAAAUAUUCUUAUAUUUAGUCAAUGUGGGAUAUUCAACAUUUUACAUAACAACCUGAUAGUGAGUGACCUGAUAAGUCCAACAAACUCUUACUAGGAUGACUUUAAUACCAAAUUAAAAGUAACUUUAAGUCUAACUUAACUUUACAAAACUGGUUAAUAAGUAAGCAUUCAAUUAUAUAUUAUAAAAUUCUAUUAUCUCUAGUCAAUUUCAUAUCUCCAUCAAAUAUUCAAUUCAAAGACUAUAUAUGAAUUGUUUGCAUCAACUUAGGUUUCUCUAGUAAAUUGCCAAGUUUUGUUCCCGAGAAAGCUGGCCAACAACGUUGGUUUGGUCGGUUUAAACCUUAAACCUUUUCGGGGUAAGGUUCUUGCCUCCUUGGUAUGAAGGGAUAUUUAGCUUGCCUCUUCGGUGGAUUUGAGGUCAGAGGAUAUUAGUCAUUUCAUCUCCGAAAGUGCUGUUAGAAAUUGUAAUAUGAUGUUUUGGAUGAAAAAUGAUGUGUCUGAAGCUCGAAAAUUUAGAAUUGUGGGAAGGAGAUGGGAUUUUUGUUUAAUGGUGAGGAGGAUGUAGUUUUUUGUUCUUUACAAGCCUUGGAAGCUCUGGAUUCUAACAGAAGGAAGAAGGCCAACGUUUUUGAUGAUGAAAAUAAUUAGUCUGAAUAUUAGGGGGCUAGGAGGAAGCGUUAAAAGAAGAUAUCUAAGAGAGUUAAUAAGCUUGGAACAAGUAGGCGUGGUUUGUCUACAAGAAACAACGUCUUUUGAGUUUGGUGAGGGGAAUUGUUUUCUAUUGUGGGGCUCUAACGACAUCGGUUAGGUUGAGAAUGGAGCGAGUAGUAACGCUGGUGGGAUUAUUACAAUAUGGAGAAAUAGUUGUUUUCAUUUGUUGAGGUACUCUAACGGGAACAAUUUUCUGUUAUUGAAGGGGUCUGGAAGGUUGGUGGUGGUGUACAGGUUACAAUUGUGAAUGUCUAUUGCUUGGGGUCGUUGAGGGAUAAGAAGAUAAUUUGGGAUGAGAUUUGUGAAGUAAGGACAAAUCAUUCGAAUAGGGUUUGGUGUGU
rnacentral:lncRNA from 1 species